UACAUGAUUUUGCCCGAUUUGUAAGUCAAAAUGAAUGUUUUUCGAUGGCAAUUAAUGGUAGUGAAGAACCAAACGCCACAAACUCUCUUGAUGAGAAGGUCCGUCAUUUAAUGUUAAUCUUUAGUAAAGGGGCUUCAUUACCUGUUUCCACUCGUAGAGUUAAAAGAAUGCGUACCCUCGUAAUUAACGAUAGUAGAUCAUUAAAUGGCGAGAUCCUAGAAGAAUUAUUUAGGGAAUUGACAAGUUUAAGGGCAUUAGAUUAUGGCGGAUCGCCCCACUCAAGGCCGUUGUUGACUGCGGAGGUUCCAAGAAACAUAGAAAAGCUGGUACAUUUGAGAUACCUUAAUUUGUCUUUUCAGAAAAUAGUGAAACUACCGGAGACAUUGUGCGAGUUGUAUAAUCUAGAAAAGUUAGAUAUUAGUUGUUGUUUGUAUCUUAGAGAAUUACCUGAAGGGAUUGGGAAGUUAAUAAACAUGAAGCAUUUACGAAAUAGAGGUACUAGUUCUUUAAGGUACAUGCCAGUAGGGACUGGGAGAUUAACGGGUCUUAGGACCUUGGGUCAGUUCCAGGUGAGUGCAGGAGGAGGUGUUGAUGGUAGGAAAGCAUGUAGGCUUGAAUCUCUUAAAAAAUUGGAACACCUUCAAGUAUGUGGUAUACGUAGACUGGGUGAUGUAUCAGAUGUGGGCGAGGCUAAGCGAUUAGAACUUGACAAAAAGAAAUACCUCUUCAGUUUGACCCUUGAGUUUGAUAAGAAGGAAAGAGGAGGAGAAACGAGGAAGAACGAGGACGAUCAACUUCUUCUUGAAGCCCUGCGACCACCUCUGGAUUUAAAGGAAUUAGUGAUACGGUACUACCGAGGCAACACUGUUUUCCCCAGCUGGAUGACGUCAUUAAUCAACUUAAAGAGUUUAGAUCUCUCUUCCUGCGAAAAUUGCGAGCAGCUGCCUCCUUUGGGAAAAUUGCCGUCCCUUGAAAAACUCGGCCUAUCGGACAUGAAGAGUGUGAAAAGAGUGGGUGAUGAAUUUUUGGGGAUAGAAAGUGAUCAUCAUGGCUCAUCUUCAUCUUCAUCGGUUAUUAUUGCCUUCCCCAAAUUGAAAUCACUCUCAAUUGAGUUUCUGCGCGAAUUGGAGGAGUGGGAUUAUGGGAUUACAAGAACGGGAAACACCGUCAUCAACAUCAUGCCACGUCUUUCUUCAUUGACAAUUGUUGAUUGCACCAAAUUAAAGGCACUGCCCAACCACAUUCAUCAAACGACAACGUUGAAGGAAUUGUGCAUUGUGGAUUGUGAGCUUCUGGAAGAACGUUACCGCAAGGGGGAAGGAGAAGACUGGCCUAAGAUAUCACACAUUCCCAACAUAGAUAUUUUUUAAGAAGGAUUUGCGCAUUCGAGAUUUGGCGUUGACAAGUAAUUUCUUCUCUUACUCUGAUUUGCUUUGUUGUUGUUUUUAAUCUAAUUAAGAAGCGUAAAUAGCAUUUUGAAUCAAACUCUAUAUCCGAAAUCUGCAAUACAUACUUUCUAAUAUUCUGAUUUUCAUAUCCUACCAUUUUUAAUUUGUGAGAUGGGUAACGUUACUGUAAAAGAUUAUUAAUGGAACAUGAGUAAUUCUUUUGCAGGACAAGUGACCUACAUUUAGUUUGGCUUUGGAGUUGAAUAAUAACCUUUCAAGGCCAGGACCCAAAAGCAGGAAAAACAAAAAAAGGAACGAAGCUUAAUUUUGCCACAGAUUACAUGUAUUGCCAUUAUUGACAAGUUUCUGGACAAGUGAUCAAGGGUGAGAGUGGUGCUACAACAUUGAAUAAAGCAGUCGUGACUGAAUUUAGGUUGUGUCAAAAGUGGUAAAUUAUUUGCAUGUGUAGCUAAUUUGACCAUUUCCUGAUCUAUAAGUCUAUAUUAAUUUUGAUUUUUAGUUGAGUGAUUACAUUUCAAGGUUUGCUUACUUAACAGGGCGACCAAUUUCUUUUAACUAAAUGUAUUAUAUGAUGCAGGAAGCAAGGCAGGAUAUGAAAUAAGAAGCUUAUUAAUGGCAGUUGGCAGUGAAUGGAGGCCCUUGACUAAAUUCUCAAGCGGUUGCACUGCAAUUACGCUUAUCCGUAGCCUCAGGUAAUUUCUUCUUCUGCAUUUUUGUAAUUUGUUAUCUAAUUAAGGGGCGUGAGCUAUUUUGAAUCAAAUUCUAUAUCAGGAAUAUAUGCAACAUUUUUUAAAAUUUUGAUAUGAGAGUAAUGAUGGUAAUUUCUCUUUUUUGUCUGUCAUCGAAUGUUAAAUAACAUUCACUAAGACUCUUGAGAGUCAUUUUUUGACAAUUGCAGGACAAGCGACGAAGAGUGAGAAUGGUGUUAGAUUGGGGAUUGAGGCAAAAGGAGGUAAAUUAUUGGCAGAGAAUUUGGGAGCUUGAGUGUACAGGGAUUUGCAAUUACAAUCUUACUCUGCCUUAGGUGAUUUCUUCUCCUGCUUUGUCAUUGGUUGUUCUCUAGUUGAAAAGCAUAAAGUAUUUCAAUCAAAUUCUAUACCAAGAAUAUGCAAAACUUUAUUUCCAUCUGUUUGCAUUGAUAACUUUGCGGCAUAUGCGCUAGUUAAAGAACAAACAGAAACAGAGGUCAGGAACAAGUUUCCUCUGCCGUCAUAUUUGAAAAUGCAACCAUUUCCGGGAAGUAGUUGGCAGCAAAUUCAUAUAAAGUGUAGACAAUAAUGAGCAAAAAGGUGAUUCACAAUUUUAUUUUUUUUAAAUUAAUUGUUAGGUUGGAGUUGUUAAAAGGCCAUUGAGCUAACCUAUGUCAUUAGUUACCUAGAUUGCAGGGGGUCCCGAGACUCCAAAGAAGCAUUGAAUUUUAAAAGGCAUGCAAUAAUUCUUGUGGGCGUAUGAGUUUGAUUUAGAAUCAAACUCUAGAUCAGAAAUCUGCAAUGCAUAUUUUCUAAUAUUCUGAUUUUCAUAUCCUACUAUUUUUAAUUUGUGAGAUGGGUAACGUUACUGUAAAAGAUUAUUAAUGUAAUAUGAGUAAUUCUUUUGCAGGACAAGUGACCUACAUUUAGUUUGGCUUUGGAGUUGAAUAAUAACCUUUCGAGGUCAGGACAACAAAAAAAUGAAUCUUAAUUUGCCACAGAUUGCACUUAUUGCCAUUAUUGACAAAUUUCUUCACAAGGGAUCAAGGGCGAGGAUGUUGAUAGAAUAUUGAAUAAAGCUGCCGUGACUGAACUUACGUUGAUGUCAAAAGAGGUAAAUUAUUGGCAUGCCUGACUAUUUUGACCAUUACAUGAACAUGAGUUUACAUUAAUUUUGAUUUUGAGUUGAGUGACUUUUUAAGGUUUGCUUACUUAACCGGGUGAUGUGAUGCAGGAAGCAGGGCAGGAUAUGAAAUGAGAAGCGUAUUAGUGGAAGUAUUGCCAGUAACAGAACCCAAAAAAAAGUGGAACCAUUUUAAGGCAGCAGUUGGCAGUUGGGAGUGAAUGGAGGCCCUUGACAAAAUUCUCAAGCAGUUGCAAUGCAAUUACGAUCAUCCUCAGCCUCAGGUAAUUUCUUCUCCUGCUUUGUUGUUAUUUGUUACCUAAUUAAGAAGCAUAAAGUAUCUUGAAUCAUUUUCUGUAUCUGGAAUAUAUGCAACAGUCUCUAAAAUUUUGAUGACUGUAAUGAUUGUAGUUUCUGCUUUCUGUCCGACAUCGAAUGUAAGACGACUUUAUUAAGACUCUUGAACCGAGACAUUUUUGACAAUUGAAGGGCAAGUGCUGAAGAGUGGGAAUGGUGCUAGAUUGGGGAAUAAAGCAAAAGGAGGUAAAUUAUUGGUAGUUUCUGCAGCCUUGUUUUCUUUGAAUCAGCACCUGAUUCACAAGACUCCAUUAAUUUGGCUUUUGAUGAGCUGAGUGAUAAAUUUUCAAUUUCUUUGGUGCUAAAUGUAUGUGUGAAGCAGGUAGCAGGGCAUGACUGUGGAAAAGAGAAGAUUUUAGUGAAAGCUGAAACUCAGAUAAUUCUACAUUUAUCUAAUUCACGAAAUUUUAUUUCCAUCUGUUACAAGAUCAAACUGAAGCAGAACUCAAAGAAAGUAAUCUACUUCUUGCGGCAAUCUUGCCUUCGCUCAGAUUAUGAAACCAUUUCCAUGCACCAAAUUCAUCCAAAAGUUUGAAUAAGUUUCAUGGUUGGACACUGUUGGCUUCUUUUUCUUUUGGGGUGCAUUUUGGUGCUACCAAGUGACAGCUGCAAGUAUGAUUGCACUAACCUGCUGCUGGGAAAUUUGAGGUUUUGAUGGCUGCCCAUGUUAUUGUCAAGAAACUCCUCAUGUAAGAAGCUGUGGUUCUUUUCAUCAGCUUGAACCUGAAACUGUUGCUAUGGAUAACUCACGUUUUUAUUCUCAACUAUAUCAUCUUUUUUAGUGUUUUGAAACUCUUAAGAUUAAACUUUGGUAAAAUGUUUUCAGUUAUCCAUGUAAUCAGGCUGAGGAUAAUUUAGUAAAGUUGUUUCCGCUAUUCAAAUGAAAAACCCCAUUGAUUUUAACCAUGAUAAAGCUAAUGUUCCCAAUGAUUACUGCAGGUGAGACUUGUGAAGAGGGUGAGUGAGGCAACUGCUAAAAUUCCUGGCUGGGAUACAGUAACUAGAGGCUGAGAUCAGGUGGUGGAAUUUUUUGUUCCGUGGAUGAUACCAGAAUUGUCCAGAAAAGAUUUGUUGAUACUAAUUACAGAUGAUAGAAAGAGGUAUAGGUGGAGAAGAGAAAUCUGCGAGUCAAAUUAGGGAUAAUUGAUUCUGAUACUAGUUAUAUUGAAAAUAAUAAUAACAAUUGCAUGAAGAUAGUCAAUAUUCUUCUCUAGAUAUAUUGUAUGGACUUCCUUGCUGCCUUUAUCUAUGUGCAUGUUGACUAAAGCUAAUCUAGAAUCAAUAGAGAGGGAUAUUUAUCUAUUUUGUUUAACAUAAGAGUGCUGUAUAAUUUUUCACUAAAUACACCUACAACAAACUAUUAAUAAUAAAGUGAUAGAAGAAUGCCUAAAAUAUAGGUAUUAAUGUCAUAAUAAGCCCAUGUGGAUCUCAGUGCCGCAAGUUCGAUAAAUGGCUAUCAAGGAUUGCUUAUUAAGUCAAAAUAUUCAAAGGACAAAAUGGUAAAACUAUAAGGGUGGAGUAAUAUGGCUAUCUUGGGUUACAUAGUAAGUCAACUACAUUCAAAGUAUAAAAUAUUAGAACCUGAACGGCGGAGUAGUCGUCGUUAGAACCUGAACGGCGGAGUAAUCGUCGUUAGAAUCUGAAUGAUAUGUCUAAGACGUUGCAUGCAUCUAGAAAAUUGCAGAUGAUUAGACCUUGCCAUCUAUGCGUUGUAUGAGGUUAUAGCAACUAUCUAUCUGGUCACCGUUUUCAAGUCUCAAUUGGUAGUCCAAACUCCAAAGAAAAGAAUGAUUCUACAAUAGCAUUAAGUGUUAAUUGGACACAAAAAGAAAUGUUUUAACCACUUUAAGGAAAGUAAAUGUAAUUUUGUGUCCUAAAGAAAAGGUAAAUGUAUGCACUGUCAAUUAAUCUUUGGUCGACCAGCAACAUCAUAAUUUUGUGUAGGUUCAUUUUUGUUUCUUAGAGUUUGUAAAAAGAAUGGGAAGAUUUUAAAAUAUAAAUUUCAUAUCUGUUUAUUACUGUUGUUUGGUCUAAUUUCUUAUGUAGAAUUUUCAGAAUCUGUAGGACAUUAGUUUAUAAUUUUGAGAUUUUGCAGCCAUAAAUGUUUUUUUUUUCUUUUUUCUUUCUUUUUUUUUUUGUUGGCAUUUUAUUUUGCUCCUUUAUCUAUGUGCAUGUUGACUGGCUGCAGUGAGUGAAAAUUUACCCAUAUAUGCUGGCUAUUCUUGGACAAUAUUAGAGAAAAUAAUCAUAUUAUUUCGCUUGAUGUGAACUUCCAUAACUUAUCAAUUGAAUUGCUGUAAAAUAUUAAAUAGUUUUAUUUUUCUUUUAUCGUGUAACUUGGACCAAAAAAGGAAAUGAGUUUAACACGACCCUCAUUCUGCUUCUUGCUUUGGUUUCAAACAAGUCUUUCUCCUUUAUGACAUUUAUUGUAAUUUCAUUUGGAGACAUAUAUCUGUCGUUCAAAUAUAUUUCAUACGUAAGCUGUUAAUAAUUCUGCUUGCAGAAAGCCUACAAAGCAGCUGUGUGAUGUAAUAGAAGACCAUAGUCUCGUCAAUUUUUCAACAUUAGAUAUUCAGGUCAUCAGCUUCUCAUGAAUUCUUUCCUGAGUUUCUUUGAAUUAUUUGUGAUGUAAUAACUUGUGCAUUUGAGAAACUGUUCUCAUGAAUUCUUUCCUGAGUUUCUUUGAAUUAUUUGUGAAUAAGUUCCUAAUCGGCUGCUUCUCCUCAGGAUAAGGAAAGUGUUGCAAACUGGUGAAGCAGCUGAUAGAUAAAAGCAAUGGGUACAUCUUUGCUGGCAUGGAUCGAUGCCAGUGCGGUUGAAUUCAGCAAGACUGCCGUUCGUGAUGUUGUUGAUUGGGAUUACAUUAAGGAUGAUGACAACAUUGAUUAAAAUGGGACGUGAAGAUAUAUGGUGUGCAAAUUAACCCAACCCAACCAAACCCGUACAUUUUAUCAACCCAACCCAACCCAACCCGUAAAAAAUCACACGGAUUAGGUUGGUUUCACGGAUUGGGCGGGUUAAUUCUAAUUUCUUUAUAAGUUUACCAAAAUUAGAUCUGCUUACCUUUGUUCAUUCAGCAACAACACUUACAAUUCACAGCUAGAGAAUCUAUCCAUUGACAAUUGUGGAUUAAAAUUAUAACACCUGAAUUCAAACAUAUCCUUAUGAAGUUAUGAAUUUGUUCAUACUUCAAAUGAUUUUUUUUUUCCAAGCUAAUAAAGCAACGACUUUGAUCAAACGACGACGUUGAAGGAAUUACGUAUUUUCAAUGUCCUUUGCCAGACAGACGCUGGAGAGAGGGAAAGGAGAAGACUGGCCUAAUUAAGAUAUCUCACAAAGAUUAUUAUUGAGUUAAAAUGUUAUUGUAAAAGAUGUUUAAUACAAUAAUAGUACUUCUUUUGCAUUGUUAUAAUGAGGCUGGCGGGUUUCCUCAGAGGAUGGAUCUGGCUCGCUAGUAUGCAUUUGGGAAGCUGCUAAUUAUCGGCCAUAAAAAGUCAGGGGGUUGUGGCUCGUCCGUCGCCCAGAAAUUCCUAAACUCAUAUAUCAAACUUCAGAUGAACUUGGGCAUUAUGUAAAUAUGUAUUUUUGAGAAUUAAACUAGUGCGUUAGAAAAAUUUUGAGCCAUUGUAAUCAUUUUAUUUUGCUAAGAGAAAAUUUUACUCUGUGUUUCGCUUUGCCUUUUGUUUUUUCUGUGAUAAUAUGAUUCAUACGAAUGUGAUUACACACUAUCAUGCAUCUAUUUUCAUUUGCUUGUCAUGAAUGAUCAACAUGCUCGAAAUAUUUAUUUAGGUUGGAAAUAUUUAAAUCUAUUAAAAUACUAUACACACCCAUUUAAAAAUAAAAAUAUGAUUAUCAUAAUGAUCGCGAAGAUAACACGAUAUCAUACAUAAAAUAAAAUAUUUCGCAAAAAAGAAAAGAUACACUUGAAUACAUUGGUAUAAAAAAUAUUUUAGUGGAUUCAAGUAGCACUAAUGCCCCCUUAUCAAAAAAUAUAUAAAGAUAACUAAUCUGAUUGGGUAUACCGUGUGUGUGUGUAAUAUUUUUUGAUAUUAUUAUAUAAUAUUUUUUAAAAAGAAGAGAGUGGGCAAAGUCCAAAUCAAUUUUCUAAUCCCUAUCUCCUUUAGGAUUUCUAGUCAAAGAGGCUAAAUUGCACGAAAUUGUGCUAGCUUAUUUGAUUUUAAAAUUUUCCAAUGCACUGUAACACACUCUCAUGCUUGUACAUAGCUCGAAAAUCUCUAGAAUUUACCAGAGUAGUGUACCAUGUAGCUUGUACAUAGGUUUUUCUGGAACACUCCAAGCGUUACUAAGCAUAAGAGCUUUGAGAACUCUCUAGACAUAAAACAUUCAAGGGUAGGCCUACCCUAAAAAUAGGGCAUGAUGAUUGCCAUUUGAGCAUACAAGAAGUAAGAACAAAUCAAGUAUAUUUGUAAGCUCCCAAACUCUCUCGUACACACUCUUGUGAAUAAUAUGCUUUCUCUUUGACUACAUUACUCUCUCUUCUCUCUAGUUUUUUUCGUAAGUAUCAUAGCUUAGCUAGUCGAAAAGUUCAAGUAGGAAUGAUAAUUUUUCCUGACAGGAUGUGGGAUCCCAUCUCAUUUGGGACGGGAUUGGGACACAUUUUUAUCCCACAAAAAAAUAUAGGGACGGGAGUAGAAAUUUUUUUAUCCCACUUGUAUAUAUGGGACAGGACUGAGAUUAACAAAUUCAGUCUCGUCCCGUCCCGUCUCAUUACCAACUAGGGAUGGAAAUUUUUCCAAUUGGGAUGGGCUCUCGCAGAAUCCCAUUUAUUUUGGGAUGCAAUUGAGACAUAUUUUUAUCCCAAAAAAAUAUAUCGAGAGUGAGACUUUUUUUUAUCCCACUUGCAUAUUCGGGACGAGACUGAGAUUAGUAAAUCUCACCCUAUCCCAUCCCAUUGCCAACCCUAAGUUCAAGGCUUACUUUGCAAUUAUCUCAUAAAAGUUGUUUUAAGUACCACAGGAGUUUGUUGUGCAAAAUACUCAUCCCGUGACAUUAGCUAAAUAAAAUUAUUUGAAAGCCACUUACCCAAACUAUUAAACAAAUAUUAUUCUUUUAAUAUGUAAUCUUUUAAUAUAAAACUUUUGUCUUAAUUUUCUAUCUCCUACAAUAAAUUUUAUGAUUUUAAAAAUUGAAAAAAUUAGUAACUUUUAGAUAGAGCAUUCCUUACUGUGAAAAGAAAUAUGAAUGGUAAUAUAAAACUUACUUAUUAUAGUAUAAUGCUUUUAGUUUUUUGAAAUAUAGGUUCUUAUUUUUUUCAAGAUAAAGUUCAAAGAAAACAAGUUAAAUGUUGUGGAAAAUCUUACGCACAUACAAUAAAUUAUGACAGCUAAAUGCAAACCUGGCUGAAGUAUUAGUUGUUUUAUUACAGAGACAAAAGGACAAUAUCACUAUCCAAGUCAAAAGCAACUCAAUGUGAGUCUUAGGGCACUCGCAGUGAAUCCCAAGAUAAACUAAUUUCACUAGCAAGUUGGAUACCAAAGAGUAAGGCUUCAGCCUCAAUUAUAUUAACAUUAGCUGAGUAAACAUUAAAUACCACAAUCAAUCUCAGAAAUCAUAAUUAAACUAUCAUGAUUAAAAAUAAAGUUUUUUUUUUAGAUAUCCGUUUGUAGUAUCUCUUUAGAUGACAAGUAGGAGAUAAAGUAAAUAAAUAUUGGUUGCGUAAAUAAAAAUAAAUAAAUUUUUUAACUGAAAAAAAAAUUCCUAAAAACUAAAUAGUUCAAACUUUUUUUAACAUGAAAUAAAUAUUUGAUGCGUAAAUAAAAAAAAUUUAACUGAAAAAAAUUCCCAAGAACUAAAUAGAUCAAACUUUUUGUUUAACAUCAUGGGUUUUGUAUAUUCAAUUGAACCGAACAACUAAAUUAAAUCGAAAUUACCAUGUUCGGUUCAAAUGAAUAGACGAAAACCGAACAGUUUAUAUUUUUAUGAACUGAUGGUGCGUUUACUUCAUGAAAUGAAAAUAUGGUGGAAUGAGAAUGUGUUAAAAUGAAAAUGAGGAAUGAGAAUGAGAUUCUAAUGUUUAUUUAGUAAAAAUAAAGGGAAAUGAGAAUGUGCUGGAAUGUCAUUGAUGUGUUUAUUUGACAAAAUAAAUGACAAAAGUAUCAAUUCGGAUCCUGCUAAUGAUAGUUUGCCAUAUCCUUUGUCAUUGAACUUUCUUACAAAUGCUGUGGUUUGUUGUAGUAUAAUUAGUUCAAUCAGAAACUUCCUUGAUGUUAAUAUAGAUAUGAGUGUGCUGUGAAUAUUGAGGACUUCAUUAGACUAAGUGAUGUGAUGAUGGAGCAUUCACUUGGUCCCAAUGGAGGUUAGUCAGCCCAUUGUUGUUUACUCUUUCUUGCUUUAUCACGCAAUGAUAUUCCUUUGCUUCACAACAAAUUUCAUGAAAUUAACUUCAAUCGAGUGGCUAUGUUCAUACGCUAUUGAGAUUUUAUGGACAAUGAUUUGGUAGACUUUAUAUGCCGUCUUCUUUCUUUUUGCAGUGAUAUGUUUGUAUGCAAUGCACUUGUACUUGUUCUAUGGUUUCUAAAGUAGGCGUUUUUAUGAUAAACUAGGUCUUGGGUAUUGUAUGGACUAUCUAGAGAAGAAUAUUGACUGGUUGCAGUCGAAAUUGGAACCACUUUUGAAAGGUAAGAAGUGGCCAUUUUCCUUCAUUCUAAUGCCAAUAAUGCUGUCAUGAGACUCAUAAAAAUUGUUAAAACGUUAAUGUUUUUGGUAUUUUGCAGAUCAUUAUCUUCUGUUUGAUUUUCCUGGCCAAGUUGAAUUAUUUUUUCUUCAUUCCAAUGCCAAGAAUGUUAUAAUGAGACUCAUAAAGAAGUUAAAUCUCAGGGUAUUGUUACAUCUUACGUCUAUGAAGGGACUCAAAGAGUUGAGAUGAAUUCAUCAUUAUUAUUUUGAUGCCAGAAUUGUGCAAUUCUCAGUUGCUUCCUUUCACAUGCAGUUGACUGCAGUGCAUCUAGUUGAUGCGCAUCUUUGCAGUGACCCCGGGAAGUAUGUUAGUGCUUUGCUUCUCUCGUUGUCGACGAUGCUACAUCUGGAAUUUCCCCCAUGUCAAUGUCUUGUCUAAGAUCGGCCUGAUUGAGAAUUAUGGAAAGCUAGGUGUGGUUUUAAGUGUAGCUCUCCUACUUGUUUGUUUAGAUUGAGAUAUCAGAUAUUGUCACAAGCUCCUAUCUGCUACAUUUCCUCACCAAUCAAUUACUUUGGGUAUGUUGCAGCUUUUAAUCUCGAGUACUAUACGGAUGUGCAAGAUUUGUCAUUUUUACAGCAUGCUCUGGGUCAGGACCCUCGUUCUGCUAAGUAUAGGUUUGAAUUCUAGCUGAAUCAAUGAUGCAAAUUAUGUCCAUUGCUAUUUCUGACUGUCGUUUCUAUCAUUUUCAAUUGUUACCUCCCCUUGCCAUCUACUGCCAUACUGCAAUGCCCACACAAAUGUUAUGAAAUUUGUCAAUGGAAAUGACAUUCUAUUUGUCCAGAGACAGCUCUUAGAUGCAAGUGAACAAUUUUUGGCUUUGGCCGUAGUACAGCCUUAGAUUUCAACUUGCCAUAUCUUGUCUCGGAAGUCAAAAGAAAGCAUAUAUGUUAGCCAAAUUUUAUUUGAAUUUCUUGUGUAACAAUGAAUGGGGAAAAAAAACAGUUCCUCUUUUGUUUUGAUCAGACUCAAUGAAUAAGUGGUUAAAAUGUGCCUGUACUAGAAAUAUAGAUGUGUGGUUUCAUAAAAUUUUCUUGAUCUUAAGAAAGAGUUAUCUUGAAAAGAAGAUAACAUGGGGAAUUGAACAACUAUACAGUCAUAUUGAUGUCUGUCAACUUGGGUCAUAUGGUGUCGUUUGGAUGGAGAUGUUAGGUCCCAGAUGGUAAACUUGUUAUCGAAUUCCAGUCUACUUCAUUCAUGCUUUGAUGACAUAUGUGGUGCAGCUUCUUAUCUAAGACCUGCAUAUGUUACAGUCAACAUUCUGUUCUGUAUUUGGCUGCCAUUCUUUUCAAUGAAUUCAAACCACUUUCUGAAUACUUGGAAAUUCAUCCAGUGUUGUCAUUGAGAUGCCAAUAUGAAAAGAAGCCAUAAUUGCCCUUGAUAGUAUGCUUAUUGAUUGCCUCUUGCCUCACUCAACCUCAGGAAUCUGCUUGUAUGGUGUUCUUCUAAUUUCAAUUGGAGAUAAAUAAUAUCUGUUGUUCAAAUAUAUUUUAUUUACAAGCUGUUAAUAAAUCUGCUUGCAGAAAGCUUACAAAGGAGCUGUGUGAUGUAAUAGAAGUCUACAGUCUGGUCAAUUUUUCAACCUUAGAUAUUCAGGUCACCAGUUUCUCUUGAAUUCUUUCUUGAGUUUCUUUGAAUUAUUUGUGAAUAAGAUCUUAGUUGACUGCUUCUCUUCAGGAUAAGGAAAGUGUGGCAAAACUUGUGAAGCUGAUAGGUAAAAGCAAUGGGUACAUCUUUGCUGGCAUGGAUGCCAGUGCAGUUGAAUUCAGCAAGAUUGCCGUUCGCGAUGUUGAUUGGGAUUAUUUCGGAUAUCCUUCUUUUCACCUAUUUUCAAUCUUGUUAUUCUCAUAUUCAUAAAACUUUUUGGUUAUUUAAUUAUGGUUCAUCAUAUGCAUCUGCAUCUUCUAACUUGUUCGUUUGAGAAACUAAUUUUGCCGUUAGGUAGGCUUCGAGCUUGAUGAGUUGAUUCAUGCUUUUUCAUAAAUGUACCAAAAUCAUGGAAACUUCUUUUUCCCAGAUAUUGUAUCCACACUUUUCCCAUAUAAUUGGGUCAGACAAGUUUUGCUUAACAAAGAUAUCUACAGUAGCCGAAGUGCAGGAGAAGUACAUUAAGGAUGAUGACGAUGUUAACUAAAAUGAGACGUGAAGAUAUGUGGUGUGCAAACCGUAAGCCUGCCUCUUAAUUUUGUGCAUGUUUACUUGCUUGUGAUUCACGUUUGUUAAUCUAUUUUGCUCUCUUGCAGGAGUUAUAAAGUUUUCAAUCAAUCAAACAUUUAACUCAAGUCCUUAGCUCUUCACGGCUUGAAUGGGUCAGAUAGGACAAGCGCCGAAGAGGUGGUUUUAAUCAAACCCCUCCUAAUUAUGAUGUAUGGUCCGAAUCUCGGACUUUUUGUACAAUAUCAAGCGAUUUUUUUUUGGUUGAAUCGGCUAGUGUACGCAAAUGUCGAUUAUUGAUUUUUCUCCAGUAUUGUUUGUAAUUACAAGAAACGAAGUAAUGAAAUUUAUCACUGCGUUCAUAGUUAUGCUUAAGCUCAAAGAUUACCGUCAAGAUCAUUUUGGGCCCUCAAAGAAACAUGAUGUUGACACAUGUAAAAUUAUGAAGCUUGUGAUUAAAAUACUUUUCACAUAUAUAUGUUAAGUUCUAUUAAUAAUUAAAUAUAUGAAUAAAUAUGGUCAAUGAGGAGAGGAUAAAAUAAAAUGGUUUCAUUUUUUGAAUUACCCAUCCGCUUCAAACUUCUAAGAAGUAGAUAUACAAUCAGUGGAAUACUGAAUUGAGUACGAGCUGCGGAUAACUUAUAAAAUUGGGAUACAAGCUUCAAGGAAAGUGUAUUGCUAUUCAAAUGUAGAUUUCAAAUUAAGAAGAUAUGCCAACAAAUUAUUCUAAAUGAUGAAAUGAGCUAUCUUGAUCAAAAGGUCAAGAACCUACCUUACUUCUCUUAGAGAUAACUUGCAUCAACCGUUGUGGUAUUGAUACUUGUCUUCAGCUAGUAAAAGUGAAAGUUUCACAAUUGAAAUAAAGCUAAGGGAAGAUGCUAUGCUCCAUUUAUUAUUAUUAUUAUUAUUGACGUGGUCGAGAAGUAAAGCCGUGCAUAUGAUGAAGUAUAAAUAAGAAUGCAAUAGCCCGGAAUUCAUUUACACAAACACUUCAAUAUCCUUUCGAUCACUUUUGCAAACAUCAAUUUGUCUCCUCUUGUAUUCACCAUGGUUGAUGCCAUCGUUUCCCCUCUCGUGGAGCAGCUGACUUCCUUCGCUGCUAAAGAGAUAAUACAACAGGUGAUCGAAGUUACACCCCCCAUAGUAUAAAUACUUCUAAUGAUUUUAAUUGGUUUUGUUUUUAUCGAAAACAUUAACUUUGCUUUAUUUUACGCAUUUAGGCAUUUUAAAUUUUGAAAUUUGAAUUGAAUUUAAUUAAAAUGUGAUUUAGUUAGUAACCACUUUUUUUUUUCAUUUAUAUUCUCAAUAACUACCCAUAUUUUGGUAACUUACUGUAACCCCCGUAUCUAAGAAAUUAUCAAAACCCACAAUUUUAACUCCACAUAAAUAUUCCAUGUUGAGCUAAGUUCGAUGUUGAGGUAAGUUUUUUGCAUAACAUUCAAAUUUGUCAAAUAGUCAUUAAUUUAAUGUUUAGUAAAAACUCAUCUCUGAAAAAUUUCAUAAUUUUCUUACAUUAUUUGAGUCUGGUAAGUGACUUCAUAUAAUUUCUUUUCAAUUUAAAUUUUAAUUUGGUUUCUGAUAUAGUCUCUUUACUGAAUUUAUAUCUUUUAUGAUUCUUGGAUUUUGGGCUCCAACUUUUUAGGAUUUGAUAGUCACAUUUUAUGGCAUGCUUAGAUUGAUGUUCAUGAUUUUUAGUACUCGUUAAGUGACUGAGAAUUUGACAAAAGUUUGAAAGGAAAUCCGUUUCACGAUUCUUAUGUGGAAGGUUCGUAAAAUCAUGAAAUUUGGAUAGGAUUCAUUAGCAAUAUGUACAAGACUGUCCAUAAAGUUUCAUAAUUUUUCAUUCGGUCGGGGGUGGUACAGGUGAAACUUGUGGUUGGUGUUGAAGAAGAAGUGAAAAGCCUUACCAGCCACCUUCAAGCCAUUCAAGCUGUGCUCAAUGAUGCAGAGGAAAAGCAAGUGAAGGACAAAGCUGUUAGACAUUGGCUGGGUAGGCUCAAGUAUGCAUCCUACGACAUUGAAGAUGUGUUGGAUGAGUGGAUCACAGCUAGACACAAAUUGCAAAUUGAGGGUGGCGUUGAUGACAAUGCUCUUGCUGCUCCUCAAAAGAAAAAGAAGGUAUGUUUCUGCUUUCCUGCCUCUUGUUUUGGAUUCAAACAAGAAGAAUUUGGUUUCAGACAAGUCUUUCUACGUUAUGACAUUGCCAACAAGAUCAAAGAAAUGAAUGAAGAGCUACAUGCUAUUGCUACUCAAAAAGACAUGUUUAAUCUUGUUAAGAGUGGCAAUAAAAGUGGUGAAAGACCAAGGCGUGUACAGAGUACCUCCUUGAUUGAUGAGGAAGAGAUUUGUGGUAGAGUUGGUGAGAAGAAUGAACUCAUAAGCAAGCUGUUGCGUGAGAGUAGCGAGCAACAAAAAGGCCUCCAUAUCAUCUCAAUUGUUGGUAUGGGAGGCAUAGGGAAAACUACUCUUGCACAACAAGCUUGUAAUGAUGACGAGGUGAAGAGAAAGUUUGACAAAAUUAUGUGGGUGUGUGUAUCAGAAACUUUUGAGGAGUUUAGGGUUGCCAAAGCAAUGGUUGAAGCUUUGGAUGGUCGUGAAUCUCAUUUAGGUGAAUUCCAAUCUCUUCUUAAACAUAUUGAUGAAUCCAUUGCAGGGAGGAGCUUUCUUCUUGUCUUGGAUGACGUAUGGGAUGGAAAUUACGUGAGAUGGGAACCAUUCUAUCGUUGUCUAAAGAAUGGUCUCCAUGGAAGUAAAAUUAUAGUUACCACACGUAGUGGGUCCGUUGCAUCCAUGAUGGGAUCCAUAGAUAUUAUUCCCAUUAAGGAAUUAGCUGAAGAGGAAUGUUGGUUGUUGUUUAACAAGAUAGCAUUUUUUGGUAGGCCUAUCGAGGAACGUGAAAAAUUCGAACGAAUUGGGCGAAGAAUUGCAGGCAAGUGCAAAGGUUUACCUCUUGCUGCAAAGAUAUUAGGGAGUCUUAUGCGCUCUAAACAAACUGAAGAAGAGUGGAAAAUAAUUUUAACUAGUGAUUUAUGGAAAGUAGAAGAGAUUGAGAAAGAUGUUUUGUCCUCUUUAUUGUUGAGUUACAAUGAUUUGCCAUCUAGAGUAAAAAGAUGUUUUUCAUAUUGUGCUGUCUUUCCAAAAGACUACAAUAUAAAAAAAGACAAACUAAUUACAUUGUGGAUGGCUCAAGGUUAUCUUAGUGCAGAAGAAGAUGAGGAGAUGGAGACUAUAGGUGAAGAGUAUUUUAGCAUCUUAGCUUCUCGCUCUUUCUUUCAAGAGUUUGAGAAAAGUUAUGAUAAUCGUAUUAUAGAGUGCAAGAUGCAUGAUAUGGUACAUGAUUUUGCCCGAUUUGUAAGUCAAAAUGAAUGUUUUUCGAUGGAAAUUAAUGGUAGUGAGGAACCAAACACCAUAAACUCUCUUGAUGAGAAGGUUCGUCAUUUAAUGUUAAUCUUUAGUAAAGGGGCUUCAUUACCUGUUUCCACUCUUAGAGUUAAAAGAAUGCGUACCCUCUUAAUUAACGAUAGUAGAUCUGAUCAUUCAUUAUUAAAUGGUGAGAUCCUAGAAGAAUUAUUUAGGGAAUUGACAAGUUUAAGGGCAUUAGAUUUUGGCGGAUCGUACACACAUUUUUCUUUGACUCUGGAGAUUCCAAGAAACAUAGAAAAGCUGGUACAUUUAAGAUACCUUAAUUUGUCUUGUCAGAAAAUAGUGGAGCUACCGGAGACAUUGUGCGAGUUAUAUAAUCUACAAAAGUUAGAUAUUAGUGAUUGUUUUAAUCUUAAAGAAUUACCUGAAGGGAUUGGGAAGUUAAUAAACAUGAAGCAUUUACGAAAUAGAAGUACUAGUUCUUUAAGGUACAUGCCAGUAGGGAUUGGGAGAUUAACGGGUCUUAGGACCUUGGGUGAGUUCCACGUGAGUGCAGGAGGAGGUGUUGAUGGUGGGAAAGCAUGUAGGCUUGAAUCUCUUAAAAACUUGGAACACCUUCAAGUAUGUGGUAUACGUAGACUGGGUGAUGUAUCAGAUGUGGGCGAGGCUAAGCGAUUAGAACUUGACAAAAAGAAAUACCUCAUCAGUUUGACCCUUGAGUUUGAAAAGAAGGAGGAAGGAGGAGGAAGGAGGAAGAACGAGGACGAUCAACUUCUUCUUGAAGCCCUACAACCACUUCUCAAUUUAAAGGAAUUAGAGAUACAGUACUACCGAGGCAACACUGUUUUCCCCAGCUGGAUGACGUCAUUAACCAACUUAAAGAGUUUAGAUCUCUCUUUGUGCCUAAAUUGCGAGCAGCUGCCUCCUUUGGGAAAAUUGCCGUCCCUUGAAAAACUCAGCAUAAUGUUUAUGCCUGUGAAAAGAGUGGGUGAUGAAUUUUUGGGGAUAGAAAGUGGUCAUCGUGACUCAUCUUCAUCUUCAUCGGUUAUUAUUGCCUUCCCCAAAUUGAAAUCACUUUCAAUUGAGUCUCUGGACGAAUUGGAGGAGUGGGAUUAUGGGAUUACAAGAACGGGAAACACCGUCAUCAACAUCAUGCCACGUCUUUCUUCAUUGGAAAUUAAUUACUGCCCCAAAUUAAAGGCACUGCCCGACCACAUUCAUCAAACGACAACAUUGAAGGAAUUGCGCAUUUGGGGGUGUGACCUUCUGGAAGAACGUUACCGCAAGGGAGAAGGAGAAGACUGGCCUAAGAUAUCACACAUUCCCAACCUCCAUAUUGGGCUUUGACAAGUAAUUUCUUCUCUUACUCUGAUUUGCUUUGUUGUUGUUUUUAAUCUAAUUAAGAAGCGUAAAUAGCAUUUUGAAUCAAACUCUAUAUCAGAAAUCUGCAAUACUUACUUUCUAAUAUUCUGAUUUUCAUAUCCUAUGAAUAUACGAUUUUUAAUUUGUGAGAUGGGUAACGUUACUGUAAAAGAUUAUUAAUGCAAUAUGAGUAAUUCUUUUGCAGGACAAGUGACCUACAUUUAGUUUGGCUUUGGAGUUGAAUAAUAACCUUUCGGGAACUGGUGUGGACUGGCAAAGGAUGAUGAGAUAGUUUUUUGAGUGAGUAAAUUUUGGGAGCUUGAGUGUAUUGGGAUUUGCAAUUACAAUCAUCCUCUGCUUCAGGUGAUUUCUUCUCUUGCUCUGUCAUUGUUUGUUCUCUAAUUCAAAAGCAUAAAAUAUUUCAAUCAAUUCUUAUACCACGAAUAUGCAAAAGUUUCUAAUAUUUUAUUUCCAUCUGUUACAAGAUCAAACUGAAGCAGAACUCAAACAAAAGUAUGCUACUUCUUGCGGAAAUCUUGCCUUUGUUCAGAUUAUGAAACCAUUUCCAUGCAGCAAAUUCAUCCAAAAGUUUGAAUAAGUUUCAUGGUCGGACACUGUUGGCUUCUUUUUCUUCUGGGGUGCAUUUAGGUGCUAUCAAGUGACAGCUGUAAGUAUGAUUGCACUAAGCUGCUGCUGGGAAAUUUGAGGUUUUGAUGGCUGCCCAUGUUAUUUUCAAGAAACUAUUGAUGUAAGAAGCUGUGGUUCUUUUCAUCAGCUUGAACCUGAAACUGUCGCUAUGGAUAACUCAGGUUUUUGUUAUCAACUAUAUCAUCUUUUUCACUAUUUUGAAACUCUUAAGAUUAAACGUUAGUAAAGUUGUUUCAGCUAUUCAAAUGAAAAACUCAUUGAUUUGAGACUUCCUUCAUUAUUGUUUCUAAUUACAAUGCUAACGAUCCAGAUAAGAUAAUAUUUAAUCGGCGAAGGUGUCCCUUGGAAGUACAUCCUUCUUUUUCUUUUAUUAUAUAAAUUCUUGCAAUGAGCUUAGUGAAGCUGUUGUGCUAAUCAUGCCACUGCAUAAUUUGGCCCCUAAUGUGGGUACUCUGUUACAUUGUUCUGCAAAUUCUCCAGAAGUUAAAAUCAAUAAAUUUUCUAUUAGCUCUAGUGCUUUGACCUAAAUGCUAUUCUAUAUUCUGAUUACAAUGUUUUAACCUUUAAAUUAACUACCCCUAGAUGUUGGAUUUUCUAGAACUUCAAAUUAUAUAUAACCUUUAAAUUAUAUAUUUCUGUGUCUCUAUUUAUAGAUGACAUUUAAGCAUCCAUAAACCGUCAGACAGAGGAAGGGGGUUCAGUGCAAAGAUUCUGUUGACCUAGGGUUGACUGCAUAUGUCACUUGUUCGCAAUCUAAUAUUUAUUUUAUAUUUUGAAAAAUUUAAUGGGUAAUCCUAAUUGUUUGUUUUGGCAGGUAUGUGUUGUUAUCUCCUUCUAUCUUACAGUCGUACCUAAAUAGCAUAGUUUCAUCUGUGUUACCAUGUGAUGUACAUAAUUUCACAUUUGCCUCAGAUUAAGCUUAAUUUCCCACAGAAUAGAGCUGUCGCGACUGGACUUAGUUUGAUGUCCAAAGAGGUAAAUUAUUGGCAUGCCUAGAUAAUUUGGCCAUUUCCUAAUUCAUAAGUCUACAUUAAUUUUGAUUUUGAGUUGACUGAUUUCUUUUCAAGGUCUGCUUCCUUAACGGAGUGACCAAUGUUUUUCAACUAAAUUUAUCAUAUGAUGCAGGAAGCAGGGCAGGAUAUGAAAUGAGAAGCUCAUUGGUGGAAGUAUUGCCAGUAGCAGAACCCAAUGAAAAUGAAACUAUUUCAAGGCAGCAGUUGGCAGUUGCAAGUGAAUGGAGGCCCUUGACAAAAUUCUCAAGCAGUUGCAAUGCAAUUACGAUCAUCCUCAGCCUCAGGUAAUUUCUUCUCCUGCUUUGUUUUUAUUUGUUAUCUAAUUAGGAAGCAUAAAGUAUCUUGAAUCAUUUUCUGUAUCUGGAAUAUAUGCAAGAGUUUCUAAAAUUUUGAUAUGAGUGUAAUGAUGGUAAUUUCUGUUUUCUGUCUGUCAUCAAAUGUUAGAAAACUUUCAUUGAGACCCUUGAACCGAGUCAUUUUUGACAAGUGAAGUGCCGAAGAGUGAAGAGUAAGAAUGGUGCUAGAUUGGGGAAUAAAGCAAAAGGAGGUAAAUUAUUGGCAGCUUCUUCAGCCUUAUUUUCUUUGGACCAGUGCCUAAUUCACAAGUCUCCAUAAUUCGGCUUUUGACCAGUUGAUAGAUAAAAUUUUAAUUUCAUUGGUGCUAAUGUACCCGUGAAGCAGGCAGAGAAGGACUGUGGAAAAGAGAAGGUUUUUAGUGAAAGCUUAAACGCAGGUAAUUCUAUAAAUUAUAUGUUUUUGCUGAUUUAUCUAAAUCAGGAAAUUUUAUUUCCAUCUGUUACAAUAAAACAGAAACAGAACACAAAGAAAAAUAGUCUACCUCUUGUGGCAAUCUUGCCUUCAUUCAGACUAUGAAACCAUUUCCUUUCACCAAUUUCUUCCAAAAGUUUGAACACGUUUCAUGGUUGGACAUAGUUAGCUUCUUUUUCUUUUGGUGCAUUUAGGUGCUAUCAAGUGACAGCCAUAAGUAUGAUUGCAUUAUUGGGAAAUUUUAGGUUUUGAUGGCUCCCCAUGUUAUUGCCAAGAAAUUUUAAGUCCUCAUGUCAGAAGCUGCGUUUCUUUUCAUCAGCCUGAACCCGAACUGAGGUUUUUGUCAUCAACUAUAUCAUCUUUUUCACUGUUUUGAAACUCUUAAGAUUAAACUUCAGUAAAGUUGUUUCAGUUAUCCAUGUAAUCAGGCUAAGGAUAUUUAGCAGCUUAUUUAGGCAACUGCCAGAAUUCAGUUUGUUUGCUCGAAACUUGUAUGGUGACAAGGAUACUGGCAAGGAUAGUGAGAUAGAUUUUUGUGUGAGUGAAUUUUGAAAGCUUGGGUGUUCUGGGAUUUGCAAUUGCAAUCAUCCUCUGCUUUAGGUGAUUUCUUCUCCUGUUCUGUCUUUAUUUUCUCUCUAAUUGAAAGCAUAAAGUAUUUCAAUCAAAUUCUGUACCAGGAAUACGAAAAACUUACUAAUAUUUUAUUUCCAUCUGUUUGCAUUGAUAACUUGGCCGCAUAUGUACUAGUUAAAGAACAAACAGAAGCAGAGUUCAGGAAAAAGUUUCUUCGGCCACCAUAUUUGAAAAUGAAACCAUUUCCAGGAAGCAGUUGGCAGCAAAUUCAUACAAAGUACAGACAAUGAUGAGCAAAAAGGUGAUUCGCAAUUUCAUUUUUUAAAAAUGAAAUUAUUUGUUAAGUUGGAGCUGAUAUUGUUAGAAGGCCAUUGAGCUAACCUAUGACACUACUUGCCUAGAUUGCAGGAGGUCAAGACUCAAAAGAUGCACUGAAUUUUAAAAGGCAUGCAAUAAUUCUUAUGGCCAUUUGUCAAUGGUGGAAUGCUUUUAGCUUCUUUUCCUUUCGUGCAUUUUGGGGUUCUAUCAAGCGACAGCCGUAUGCAUGGAUGGAUAUAGCCGCUGCGUUGAUUUCUAAUGCGUUGUAUGAUGUUAUAGCAACUAUCCAUCUGGUCAAUGUUUCAAAAGAAUAAAACACAGGGAAAAAGAGAAAGCAAGUGGCCAAUCAAGUAUUCAUGUCCCAAAGAAAAGAAUGAUUCGACAAUAGCAUUAAGGGUUAAUUGGACACAAGAGAAGUGUUUUAACCACUUCAAGGAAUGUAAAUGUAAUUUUCUAUUCUGAAGAAAAAGUAAAUAUAUGCACUGUCAAUUAAUCUUUGGUCAACCAGCAACAUUCAUAAUUUCGUGUAAGUUUCAUUUCUGUUUGUUGGAAAUAGCAGUGUAUUUCUUAGAGUUUGUAAAAAAUGGAAAGAUUUUAAAAUAUAAAUUUCACAUCUGUUUAUUACUGUUGUUUGAUCUAUUUUCUUAUGUAGAAUUUUCGGAAUCUGUAGGACAUUAAUUUAUAAUUUUGAGAUUUUGUAGCCAUAAAUGUUUUUGUUCUUUUUUUCUUUUUUUUGUUGGCAUUUUAUUUUGCUCCUUUAUCUAUAUGCAUGUUGACUAAAGCUAAUCUAGAAUCAAUAGAGAGGGAUAUUUAUCUAUUUUGUUUAACAUAAGAGUGCUGUAUAAUUUUUCACUAAAUACACCUACAACAAACUAUUAAUAAUAAAGUGAUAGAAGAAUGCCUAAUUUUUCGUACUUUUUAAUUUCUUUCAGCCCUAAAAUAUAGGUAUUAAUGUCAUAAUAAGCCCAUGUGGAUCUCAGUGCCGCAAGUUCGAUAAAUGGCUAUCAAGGAUUACUUAUUAAGUCAAAAGUAUUCAAAGGACAAAAUGGUAAAACUAUAAGGGUGGAGUAAGAUGGCUACCUUGGGUUACAUAGUAAGUCGACUACAUUCAAAGGAUAAAAUAUUAGAACCUGAACGGCGGAGUAGUCGUCGUUAGAACCUGAACGGCGGAGUAAUCGUCGUUAGAAUCUGAAUGAUAUGUCUAAGACGUUGCAUGCAUCAAGAAAAUUGCAGAUGAUUAAACCUUGCCAUCCAUGCGUUGUAUGAGGUUAUAGCAACUAUCUAUCUGGUCACCGUUUUAAAAGAAUAAGACAAAGGGAAAAAGAGAAAGAAAAGAAUGAUUCGACAAUGGCAUUAAAGUUCAACGUACCCCAAGAUCUUGUAAUAAUGCCAUUAAUCAUUCUCUAGCUAGGCUAGCCUUAGAGAAAAGUGAAACUGUUGCACAGGUAGAAUCACACCCCUCAGAGAUAAUGUAUUUAUUCAGCUCUUCGAAUGAAUGAAGUUUAUUUUCUCGUCAAAAAAAAAAACUGCUCGCUCCGCUGGUUUCAUACAAUGUCAACUAGAAACAUCAUACUUUCGUGUAAGUUCAUUUCAGAAUAUUUCUUAGAGUUUGUAUAAAAUGAAAAGAUUUUAAAAUAUAAAUUUAAUAUUUGUUUAUUACCGUUGUUUGGUCUAAUUUCCUCGGGAGAAUUUUCAGAAUUUAUAGGACAUUAGUUUAUAAUUUUGAAAUUUUGUAACCUAAAUGAUUUUUUUUUCGGUUACCAUUUUGUUUUCCUGCUUUAUCUACGUGUAUGUUGACUAAAACUAAUCUAUUUUGUUAAACCUUUACCACUCUAGACAUUGCACUAAAUAUGAGUUCGUGAUGCUUGCAUUUUAUUGAUGCUGAUGAUUCGUUGAAUGUUUUAUGUUUUUGAUUUUUAAGUAUUCCGGAUCGAAGUUUGUGUCUACGCGGAAAUUGUAAAGGCAGCAUAUAAAGUACUCGUCGUUCUUUAGAUUUUAUUGAGUACACUUUUGUCACAUUUAGCGUAUGCUAUACACUACUGAUUUGCGCAUUGACAUAUAUCUUUUUUUUUUAUGAGAGGGGGCUCGUCAAAACGAGCUAAACAGGAACAAACCGGGGGUUAGAAAUCCCAAACAAGUCUUGCGAAAUGAUAGAAUAAACACCCAUAGGAGGGUUAGAGAACACAUGGAGGCCAAGAGGAGCUGAAUGAGCCAUAUUAGCCAUGAAAUCCGCAGCUGAGUUUGCUUCGCGAUAAAUAUGGGUGAUAGCAGUCUGCCAAUUUCUACUUAGUAAUUCCCGGACAGCUGAUAAUAAAGCAGUGAACGCAUUAGGAACAACCACCUGCUUAGAAAUCAUUUGUGUAAUACAAAUACUAUCCACUUCCACCAACAACCGUUUUAUGCCUACAUCCCAAGCAAGAAUUAGGCCCUGAUACAGCCCCCAAAGCUCAGCCAUAAGCACUGACCUGUCCCCAAUUUUCAUACAAAAGCCGGAUACCCAAUGACCAACUGAGUCUCGAAUAACACCUCCCGCUCCUGCUUCCCAAGUAUUUUUACAGGAGCCAUCUGUAUUUAAUUUACACCAUGGCCAAGGCGACGGCAGCCAAUGAAUAUAAAUCUCCUGUCUCCUCGGCUGCUGGCUUAGGCAAGAAUUAUUUACUCUGCAAAUUUCUUUAGCUCUCGCCAUAACAUCCAUAUAGAUUGUUAGACUAUCCACCAGCUUUCCCUCAAAGAAAAAAUGGUUCCUCCAGAACCAUAGCCUCCAAACUACCACACCAAAGAUACAAUCCCAGGGGAGGGGAGACCCAAUCUUCCAUUUAUUUUGCAGGUUCCCAGCAAUCCAUUCUCGUAAGUUCGAAUUGAAGAAAGUGUUAUGACUGGCCAUCGGAACAAGCUUCCGCCAAACCUGCUUGAUACAGCUGCAGUCUCUCAAUGCAUGGAGGAUAUCUUCAACCGCACCCCCACACCUAUCACAAUCCUCAGGAACAUUAAUAUGGCGCCUAACAAGUUCAUCACGAGUCUUGAGUUUCCCAUGCAUAAGCUGCCAAAGAAAAAGGCGGAUGGAUUGAGGCCCCUUCCAACUCCAUGGAAGCUUCCAAUUUCUGUCAUGAACAGCAGCUUGAUGAUAGCAAAGUGAUUCAUAAGCUGACCGAACCGAAAACAUGCCGCUUGGAUCAAAGCCCCAGUAAAUAAUAUCAGCCCCAAGAUGAGGAGCCGGAGGCAAGACUGAAGCAAUCUGCAUGAGAAUACCAUGCGGCAGAAGAUGCUCAAAGCUCGACCAAUUCCAUCCCCCAUGCCCAUUCGUAAAGUCACUCACAGUGGCAUUGAUAAGCUCGUGAGGAAUCGGCAAGAUGGCAAGGCUGAUCAGAGGAUAUUUCGUAGCCCAACAAUCAACCCAGAAUCGAGUUCUAACACCAUCACGAACUGACCAGCGAGCUCCCUGCACUGUUGCCAACCACGUGCUACGAAUAGCCCUCCAAAUCUGAGAACCCGGUUUGUCUGAAAGAGACAUUGGUAGGUUGCGAGACUCCAAACCAUAUUUGGAGCAGAAGACUUGCACCCACAGUUUAUCCGAAUUGGAAACAACCUCCCAGCUCAAUUUCAUCAACAUCGCCUGAUUCAUUUCGUCCAUUUUUUUGAAUCCCAGGCCUCCAUGUUUUUUCGGCUUGCAAAUUUUGUCCCACCCCACCAUACUCAUCUUGUGACUCUUUGAAUUCCCAUCCCAAAUAAAUCUUCGACAAGCUUUGUCUAUUUUAUGUCUCACUGGAGAAGGAAGUAAGGUCGUUUGCAUGGCAUAAACAGGCAUUGCUUGCAGGACUGAUUGAGCCAGAGUGACGCGUCCAGCAAAAGAUAGAUGAGCCGCGUUCCAACCAGUUAACCGCUUAUCCACUUUAUCAAGGAUGGAUUGAUACGUGUAUUUAUUAACCCGCGAAUGGAUUAAGGGCAUUCCAAGAUAAUCACCCAAAUUAUUUGUGGCCGAAACUCCCAAAGUCGAGCCUAUGAUAUUGGCAUCCCGAGAAGCGACAUUUUUUGAGAAGAAAACUUUAGUUUUCAUUUUGUUGACUUUUGCUUCCGAACUCCUACAAUAAUUAUCCAGAACAGCAUCUACGACAUAAGCUUGAUCAAUUGAAGCUUCCGCAAAUAAAAGCAAAUCAUCUGCAAAAAAGAGAUGCGUUAAAGGAGUUCCAUAUUUGGCCAACCGGAUAAGCCUCCAUCUCCUCUCCAUCACCGCUUGGGUUAUACCAUGGCUUAACCGUUCAAUGCACAGAACAAAAAGAUAAGGCGAGAGGGGAUCGCCCUGACGGAUACCCCUUCCCGGAGUGAAAGCUUAUGUCGCCUCGCCAUUCCACAAAAUACGCAUACUAGCUGAAGUUACGCAUUCCAUGAUUAGUCUAGAUAAGUGAAUUGGAAUACCAGUCUGGUUAAGCGUAUCAAAAAUGAAAUCCCAACUGAGCCGGUCAUAAGCCUUCUCAAGGUCGACCUUAAUGGCCAUAAAUCCUUUCCUGCCAGUUUUUCUGCGCAUAGAGUGAACUACUUCCUGAGCCACUACAAUAUUAUCUACUAUAUGCCUCCCAGGAACAAAGCUCGUCUGAUUGGGGCUUAUUAGAUUGGGCAGCAGUGUUUGCAAUCGAGUGGCUAUAAUUUUAGUCACCGUCUUGUAGGCCACUGUGUAUAGGCUUAUGGGCCUAAACAUCUUUAAGCUAGUGGGGUGCUCCUCUUUAGGAAUCAAAACCAAGAGGGUAGUAUUUAUCUCUUGCGGCACCUUCCCCGUUGUAAAAAUAUCAUGAAUAAACCUGCAAAACGACGGACCAACCACAUGCCAUUGGGAUUGAUAAAAUAUAGCGUGCAAACCAUCCGUACCUGGGGCUUUCAGCGGCUUCAUGCUAAACACAACGUUCCGAAUUUCCUCCCUCAAAAUUGGGGCUGCAGCCCCAUCUACGUCAUGAGAAUCCAAGGCUGGGAAAAAGUUUGGAGCAUGGUAAUUCCGAUAAGUUGCAUUAUCACUUGUAAAUAGGUCAGAAAAAUACCCCACUACAUGCCUCCUUAUAUCCUCCUCAUCAUAUAGCCAAUUCCCCGAACAGUCUCGGAUGGCCUCAAUUCUAUUCCGCCGCCUUCGAGCAAUGGUUUUUUGGUGGAAAAAAUUCGUAUUUCUGUCCCCAUGCAGAAGCCAAUCCUUUCGAGAUUUCUGAAGCCAAAGAAUUUCCUCCGAUUCAUCACCAUUUCGAGCUCAUUUUGCAUGCGGGCUUAUAAGCGCAACAAACUGUUAGAGCUAUAAUUCUCUAGAGUAGCUUGAAUUCCAUUAAUCCGAGCCAUAAGCCGGCGUUUUCUCUGAAAGAUAUUCCCAAACACAUCUCGAUUCCAAGCUUGAACCUCCUGGACAAAAUGAGAGGCUGCUGCACUAUAAUGGAUUUGCGGAUUCCACACCCGCUUAAUAAAGUUAUGAAAAUGCUCGUGAGUUAACCAAGCAGCCAAAAAGCGGAAAGGCCUGUUCCUCCUGUGACCGGCCACAGCUCUCUCAAACCGAACCAGCACCGGCCUGUGAUCCGAGGCAACCUUCGGGAGGUGGAGGACAGAAUUAUUCGGAUACUUAUGUAGCCAAUCACUAUUGCACAGAGCUCUAUCAAGCCGUUUAAAGAGCAAUCCACGUGACCAAGUAAACCUUGGACCUUUAAACUUUAAAUCAAAAAUUUGGUGCCCAUCAAACCAUUUCCGAAACAGAUUACACACUCCUGGGUUCCUGGCCUCACCCCCCUGCUUUUCAGAGGCAUAUAAGAUAGAAUUGAAAUCCCCACCUAUCAGCCAAGGGCCUCGAAUUGAAGGCGCAAGGUUCUCCAUAUGGCUCCACAACUGUCUCCUUAGCAUUGGAUUUGGGCUGGCAUACACAGCCGUUACCCAAGACACAAAGGUCUUAUUCAUACAAAAUUUAAAGUGAAUGAACUGCCUAUGAUUAAUUAAGACUUCCACCUCUAUGGAAUUUCGCCAAAGAAGCCAAAUUCCUCCAGAAAAACCCACAGCUUCCACCCGGUGCGAAUACUCAAAUCCACUUUUCUUUAUAAAGUCAUCGGCUUUAGCACCACUAGUGCGAGGUUCCAUUAACACCACCAUCGAUGGAUUGUAGUUUUUAAUAAUUGUUUUAAACGAGCGCCUAAAUACCCCCGAGGCUGCCCCUUGUACAUUCCAGAACAUGAUACUAGCUGACAUAAUAAAAAUAACAGGAGAGAAACAAACGUCUACUGCUGCUGUCCAAGGACUUCCUCCAUCCACGCCAAUGGCGUUUCUUGAACCAUCUCAACUUCAUUCUCAACCAUCCCAUCGCCAUCAACACCAUUUAUAGGUACAACUGGAUGGUUAUGAGCACUGUCACCUUCAUUCACCCGAUGGAUGGUUUGAUCAUCUGGAGGGUCUGCUACUUGUUGUGGAUCCGGACCUUGCCUCUCUAUGUGUUCCGCGGUCACGUCCCUUUCAUCACCAUUAGGAAGGGUUUGGGAGGAGCAAACAAACACUGUGUGUUUAGAGGGGUCCAGGGUGGUUGCGAAUGGUGCCACGAGUUGAUUGCUAGAAGCUUUCUGAGGGAAAAUAUGGGGUUCAAAGCUUCGGUUUGCAUGAGGUAGGAUGGAUAUUUCCUUCUCUCUGGUGCUGAAGACACUAGGCUGGAGAGGGUUACAGGUAGGAGUUACUGGGACGUUUGGUUUCCUGCUCUGAUUCCUUGCUGCCACGGCCUUAUUUUGCGGCUUACGACGAGCCAUAGUCUUUGCUGAGGUAUCUGCUCUGGCUGUGAAAGUAUGGUUUGAUGCGGGCAUGAAAGGUUGCCGUGAGGUGGAAGGGAAGUCUGGGCAAGCCUCAUGCACAUGGUUUCCACCUUCAUCCGAGACUUUGGAUAAUAUGUGAAACCGUGAGGUACCAGCUCCAGUAAACUCCCUAUUACGGUUUGAGUCUCCAGUGUUCUCCUUACCAAUAUUCGGCUUCCUUCCUCUCCUAGUGGCAAUCAUCCAGGGUCCGAAUAGUUCCACAUUAUUAUCACCAUUACUACCUACAGCCUGCUGGCCAGGAGCCUCAUUUUCCGGCACUGCCUGUUGGGGUUGACCAGCAUCUUCAGGGCUUGUCGAACUCUUAGCAUCCUUACAGUUGCUGCUACUAUGCCCGUAAGAUUCCACACUUAUAACAAAUUACUGGCAAUCCCUCGUAUUCCACCUUCUGGAUCUUCCCAUCCAAUUCAAACUGAGAUACCAGCGGCCUUGUUAACGAGAUACUUACUGCAAGACGUGCAAAUCUUCCACGAGAUGAGGAGGCUGUAUUCGAAUCGAUUUUAAUCACGUUACCCACUAACUGACCCAGCUUCUGUAGAACUUUUCGAUUAUAAAGAUGAACCGCAAGGCCUGGUAAACAGAUCCAUACCGUGACUUGAUCAAGAUCCGCAUUUGUGAAAUCAAAAGAGGGUGUCCAUGGCUGCACAGUUAAAUAUUGACCCAUUAUAAGCCACGGUCCCUUAGUUAAAACAUCCAUAGCAUCCCCUACCGAUCUGAAACGAACCAGAUAAUAAUUGUUUUCCAAGUCAAUCACGGAAAAACCCAUGGCUGAUUUCCACAUGACAUUUAAUCUUGCACACAUAGCUCUAUAGCCAAUUGUGCGGCCAAGCAACUUCACAACCACCGAGUUCUUCCAAGGCUCACUUAACUUAGCAUGAACCCUAGCCGAAAAAGUGAUGGAUGGCAUGGGUCCCUCGUUAGUUUCAAUAAUGUCUCCUUCCUCAAAAUCCCAGUCCUCUAGUCCACCUCCAAUUCCUUGCUCCAUCGCUUGUGUUGCAUUCACUAGGGUUUCUUUGUACGAAAACUGUACAGUGGUAUCCCCAGCAUGUUCUUCAUCACGAAAUCUUGCUUUUUUAAUCGUUCUAGCCUCCCUAAACGGCGGGGGAAAAAUCCCUCCGGAGUUAGGGUUUCCUUCACGUCCGAGGUUUUCGGAGCCUUCCAUAUGGUGUUGAUCUUUUUAAGUCACUCGUUUCAAUAUUUCAUUUAUUUCCUUUUCAAGCUAACAAUUAAUGUAUAUGAAUGUGCGGAUGCAUUGACAUAUAUCUUAUUUUAUCAUUUUGAAUGAAUUGCACGGCGAGGCUUAUCAACUUUGGAUGAAUCCUCCAAUUGUCGCAGUCCAAGACUGGCUGCAGUGAGUGAAAAUUUACCCAUAUAUAUGCUGGCUAUUUUUAUUGGCGACGAAUUCGUUGUAGUUGGUCCAUCUUGCUAUUCUCGGACAAUAUUAGAGAAAAUAAUCAUAUUAUUUCGCGUGAUGUGACCUUCCAUAACGUAUCAAUUGAAUUACUGUAAAAUUAUUGUGUAAGUUUAGGCCCAAUGGCACUUUAGUUCAUCACAUGAUAGCCUGGAUUUAAAAGGAAAACUAUAUUGCAUUGCUUCAAAAAAAAAAUUUAAUGUUUUUAAUAUGAAUAUUUUUAACUAUAUUCAGUUAAAAUAAUAUAUUCUUAAUAUUAAUAUUCAUAGAUGAAAUUCUUUUGCGGAUUUAAGAAUAAAAUAUCAAAUAGUUUUAUUUUUCUUUUGUUGUGUAACUUGGACCGAAAAAGAAAAUGAGCUUAACAUGACCCUCCUUCCGGCACUAUGCAUGUUUUUCUUUUAUUUUUCUUGUAUUGAUGACAGUGCUCUUGGUGCUUCUCAUCUGCUUCUUGCUUUGGUUUCAAACAAGUCUUUCUCCGUCGAGACAUUUAUUGUAAUUUGAUUUGGAGACAUCUGUCGUUCAAAUAUAUUUCAUAUGCAAGCUGUUGAUAAUUCUGCUUGAGAAAGCCUUCAAAGCAGCUGUGUGAUGUAAUAGAAGACUAUAUAUGCAAGCGGGUACCGAGCUCGAAUUCUUUCUUGAGUUUCUUUGAAUUAUUUGUGAAUGAGUUCUUAAUCGGCUGCUGCUCUUCAGGAAAAGGAAAGUGUUGCAAACUGGUGAAGCUGAUCGAUAAAAGCAAUGUACCAUCUUUGCUGCCAUGGAUCGAUGCCAGUGAGUUUUUUAAUUUGUCAACCUUUUUAAUAAUGCAUAUGUGUUUCUUCAACUUGAAGCGGCAUUUAAGACGAAAGAAGUGAUCUUUAAAGCAUUCUAUAGCAUUAUCCUUUCCUAUUAUAUAUAUCCAAUUGCUCCAAAUUAUUUGUAAAUUACUGAACACGAAUGCUGAUGAAUAAACUGAUGGCUCUAUGUAUGUAUGCACAUGCAUGGAGAAAUUUUAAGUCAGACAUUCCCAUAUAUAACUCGUGCUACCAAAUCAUUAAAUAAUCUUGAAAUCAAAGUAAUAAUUAAAUACAAAUAAAUUGCUCGAAUUGUACAUAUAUCUGAAUCAUGUAGUGAAGAAAAUACAACAACAACAACCAAUGGCUCAAAUUCCCCAUCAACUUCUAAUCUCAACACUUUUGAGUGUCAGAAGCAUUACUCUGCUACCAGUUAACAAACAUAUAAUUAGUAAUUUGCCAUUCACUUCCCUUUUAGGCCUAACACAUUUUCUAUAAAGGAGCCACAGAGUGAACUCAGCAGGAAACACUCAAUUUCAACCUACGUAGGACCAGGAAUUUCAACCAAAAAAAAAGUGUGCAAUUGCUUAUCCUAUCCUAUUGCUACUAGAAAGAAAGUGAACAAUUAAUUUCAGUGAAUAAAUUAAAAAAAAUUACUUCUGCAGAUACUCAAGCUAAGAACACAUUAACCCAUUAAAGACUCCAAAUUGCAUCAAACAAAUUGUUGUUAAACAAGUAAAACAAAGAAAGAGAGUUAAGGAAGCUGACCUAGUAGUAGGGGAGCUGAAGAAAGACUGCCAGUGAAUGUAAGAGAAAAUAAAAUGCAAUAAAUGGUGAAGUGCAGCUUUUCAUGUCAACUUGAAAUUGUUUCUUCUGUUUUUUUUUUUUUUAAUCUUUUGGAUUUUUAAAACAAAGAAAAUGAGGAGCAACCAGGGAGAUAAAAAGGGCGCCAAGGCAACUGUGUGUUGGGUUUAGAGCCCAAAAAAAAAGGAGGAUAAGACAUCGUGUUCUUGUGGAGACCAGACCUAUUACGUAACGUCCCCUUCAAUACCACUUGUUCCGUAUCUGGUUUUUUCUUCGUCUUUUACAUAUUUAUCCUGUGAUUUUACAAUAACUAAAUAAUCCCCGCAUAGUUUGCAAUUUUAUUCAUUUGAGCCCUACAGAUUUCAGUAAUAGGUAGAGUUGGCAAAACGGGUCAUCGGGUCGUGUUCGUGUCAUGUCAAAUUUAAGUCGACCCAAACCCGACCCAUUUAAUAAUCGUGUCAAAAUAUUGAGACCUAAAUCCGACACGGAAAAAUAAUCGGGUUACCCAAUAACUCGUUUAAUAUCAAUAUAUUGAACAAAAGUUACAUCAAAUAUUUACACACUAUCAUACAUACAUACAUAAUUUAUCGAUAUUAUAAAAUAUAUAUAUCUACUAAUAUAUUACACAUUUACACUAUUGAGGUUUUAAUUAUAUAUAUAUAUAUAUAUAUACCUACGAUGAUUGUUUAAGCCGCGGUAAACGCUUCUAGAACGCCCUCUGGCAGGAAGGAAGGUACUCAAAGAAAGUGGAGAUGAGGGAAACUCCGCUGGAGUGAGGGGAUUUAUCGGAAUCUCGUUCAGAGUGAGGAGUCAAUGAGGGUUUGCUUGUACUUGUGGUUCUAUUGAUAGGUGUUUGCAAUGGGCUUUCGUCUCAGGUAGUUCAGUCUCCGGGGUUACGCUUAGUUUCAUAUAAAAUAAAUGAAGAAGACAGCUGGACUUCAGAGUGGGAUCCUCCUAUGUUGUCGGCUGUUUGUUUGUCCGCAGCUAUUACAGCUUGUGCUCGAAUAUAUAUGUAUCCAUAUAUUUCCAGAUAUUAUAUAUCAAUAUAUAUAUAUAUUAUUUAUCAAUAUUAUAAAAUCUACAUAUCUAUCAAUUUUUUCACAUUUACACUAUUGAAGCUCUAAAUGUAUUUAAAAUUUUAUAAAUAAAAUAUUAUGUUUAUAUUCACCCUUUUAAAGAAUAAAAAAGAAAAUCAUUACUAAUAUUUGAGUUUUAAUGAUAAGAAUAUGUAAAUUAUUUUAAAAUAGAAAAUAUAAUCGGGUCAUUGAUCGGGUAAAUGGGUCAAGAAUUUUAACUCUAACCCGACACGGAAAAAAAUCGUGUUGACCCGGACCCGACCCAUUUAAUAAUCGUGUUAAAUUUGACGACCCAUAUUCAUUUAUUUAUGUCGUGUUCGUGUCGAGUAAUCGGGUCGUGUCAAAUUUUGCCAGCUCUAGUAAUAGGAAUUAUUAAGGGACAAGAGCGCAAAACAAAAACUCUGUCCACUACUGAUGAUAUAACAACGAACCUUUGUUUUUUUCUUCUUUUUUUUUUACAAAAUAUCAUUAGAGAAAUGAAAAUAUUAACUAACAUCACCCUACUGAUGAUAUAACAACGAACCUUUGUAGUUUCUGCCUGUUAAUAUGAAUUGAUCAGGAGUGUUUCCUCACUUAAAAAUUACGAAUUUACAAAUAUGUAUGUAAGUAUGUAUGUAUGUACGUACGUACGUGAGUAUGUAUGUACAUAUAUGCAUACACCUAUGUAACAUUUACUUAUCCAUCCUUUUGAGUUUAAAACUUAAUACACAUUUUCAUGAAAUUUUUAUUUUAUUAAGUAUACAACUACAGUAAUGUAUAUAUUUUUUAUAUAAGACAUGCCGUCAUAUUAUUCAUAAGUAAAACAAUGUGUUGUAAAUAGUUUAAUUAUUAAAUAUCAUACAAUAUCUUUCAACAACCGGCAAUAGACCUUUACCCAUUUUUCUUUUUCGACCAUUAGAUUCAUUCAGUUUACAUCCAACGGCAGUUUAGGAUGGAGACAAAAAGUGUGGUACGUUACCACAGUGGUAACAUUGGAUUGGGAUUGUAUGUCGUGUUUAAUUUGAAUUGGUUGAUUCCUCUAAUGAAUUAUUUUGAUAAAUUUAGUAGCAGUAUUUGGCGGCAAAAGUAUCAUUAAUUUUUGGAAAUAUGAUUAUGUUAUUAAUUAUUUUAGCAUUCUAAAAAGUCAAUGGUUAUGUUGGAAAUACUCUAAGGUAGAAUAGAGUACAAAUCACAGUCACACAUACAAAAUGAUAAAUAAUAAAAAAUAUAUUAUAUUUUUGAUCAUAUGAUUAUGAAGACGUAUUUUACCUUAAAGAAGUUCUAAUAAGCGAAUUCUUCUAAAACAAUAUAAAAUUUCUUUUUUAUCAUACUCAACCGCUUCAAACUUCUAAGAAGUAGAUAUACAAUGAGUGGAAUACUGAAUUGAGUGCGAGCUGCGGAUAAUAUAUAAAAUUGGGAUACAAGCUUCAAGGAAAGUGUAUUGCUAUUCAAAUGUAGAUUUCAAAUUAAGAAGAUAUGCCAGCAAAUUGUAUAAAAAUGUAUAAAUUGAUCAGUAACAUUAAUUCCAAAUGAUGAAAUGAGUUAUCUUGAUCAAAAGGUCAAGAACCUACCUUACUUCUCUUAGAGAUAACUUGCAUCAACCGUUGUGGUAUUGAUACUUGUCUUCAGCUAGUAAAAGACUAAAAGUGAAAGUUUCACAAUUGAAAUAAAGCUAAGGGAAGAUGCUAUGCUCCAUUUAUUAUUAUUAUUAUUGAUGUGGUCGAGAAGUAAAGCCAUGCAUAUGAUGAAGUAUAAAUAAGAAUGCAAUAGCCCGGAAUUCAUUUACACAAACACUUCAAUAUCCUUUUGAUCACUUUUGCAAACAUCAGUUUGUCUCUUGUAUUCACCAUGGUUGAUGCCAUCGUUUCCUCUCUUGUGGAGCAGCUGACUUCCUUCGCUGCUAAAGAGAUAAUACAACAGGUGAUCGAAGUUACACCCCCCAUAUUAUAAAUACUUCUAAUGAUUUUAAUUGGUUUUGUUUUUAUCGGAAACAUUAACUUUGCUUUAUUUUAUUUAUUUAGGCAUUUUAAAUUUUAAAAUUUGAAUUGAAUUCAAUUAAAAUGUGAUGUAGCUAGUAACCACUUUUUUUAUUUCAUUUAUAUUCUCAAUAACUACCCAUAUUUUGGUAACUUACUGUAACCCCCGUAUCUAAGAAAUGAUUAAAACCCACAAUUUUAACUCCACAUAAAUAUUCCAUGUUGAGCUAAGUUUUUGCAUAACAUUCAAGUUUGUUAAAUAGUCAUUAAUUUAAUGUUUAGUAAAAACUUAUCUCUGAAAAUUUUCAUAAUUUUCUUACAUUCUUUGAGUUUGGUGAGUGACUUCAUAUAAUUUCUUUUCAAUUUAAAUUUUAAUUUGGUUUCUGAUAUAGUCUCUUUACUGAAUUUAUAUCUUUUAUGAUUCUUGGAUUUUGGGCUCCAACUUUUUAGGAUUUGAUAGUCACAUUUUAUGGCAUGCUUAGAUUGAUUUUCAUGAUUUGAGUACUCGUUAAGUGACUGAGAAUUUGACAAAAGUUUGAAAGGAAAUCCGUUUCACGAUUCUUAUGUGGAAGGUUCGUAAAAUCAUGAAAUUUGGAUAGGAUUCGCUAGCAAUAUGUACAAGACUCUUCAUGAAGUUUCAUAAUUUUUCGUUCGGUCUGGGGUGGUACAGGUGAAACUUGUGGUUGGUGUUAAAGAAGAAGUGAAAAGCCUUAUCAGCCACCUUCAAGCCAUUCAAGCUGUGCUCGAUGAUGCAGAGGAAAAGCAAGUGAAGGACAAAGCUGUUAGACAUUGGCUGGGCAGGCUCAAGUAUGCAUCCUACGACAUUGAAGAUGUGUUGGAUGAGUGGAUCACAGCUAGACACAAAUUGCAAAUUGAGGGUGGCGUUGAUGACAAUGCUCUUGCUGCUCCUCAAAAGAAAAAGAAGGUAUGUUUCUGCUUUCCUGCCUCUUGUUUUGGAUUCAAACAAGAAGAAUUUGGUUUCAGACAAGUCUUUCUACGUUAUGACAUUGCCAACAAGAUCAAAGAAAUGAAUAAAGAGCUACAUGAUAUUGCCACUCAAAAAGACAUGUUUAAUCUUGUUAAGAGUGGCAAUAAAAGUGGUGAAAGACCAAGGCGUGUACAGAGUACCUCCUUGAUUGAUGAGGAAGAGAUUUGUGGUAGAGUUGGUGAGAAGAAUGAACUCAUAAGCAAGCUGUUGCGUGAGAGUAGCGAGCAACAAAAAGGCCUCCAUAUGAUCUCAAUUGUUGGUAUGGGAGGCAUAGGGAAAACUACUCUUGCACAACUAGCUUGUAAUGAUGACGUGGUGAAGAGAAAGUUCGACAAAAUUCUGUGGGUGUGUGUAUCAGAAACUUUUGAGGAGUUUAGGGUUGCCAAAGCAAUCGUUGAAGCUUUGGAUGGUCGUGAAUCUCAUUUAGGUGAAUUCCAAUCUCUUCUUAAACAUAUUGAUGAAUCCAUUGCAGGGAAGAGCUUUCUUCUUGUCUUAGAUGACGUGUGGGAUGGAAAUUACUUGAAAUGGGAACCAUUCUAUCGUUGUCUAAAGAAUGGUCUCCAUGGAAGUAAAAUUUUAGUUACCACACGUAGUGGGUCCGUUGCAUCCACGAUGGGAUCCAUAGAUAUUAUUCCCAUUGAGAAAUUAGCUGAAGAGGAAUGUUGGUUGUUGUUUAACAAGAUAGCAUUUUUUGGUAGGCCUAUCGAGGAACGUGAAAAAUUCGAACGAAUUGGGCGAAGAAUUGCUGGCAAGUGCAAAGGUUUACCUCUUGCAACAAAGACAAUAGGUAGUCUCAUGCGUUCUAAACAAACUGAAGAAGAGUGGAAAAGAAUUUUAAAUAGUGAUUUAUGGAAAGUAGAAGAGAUUGAGAAAGAUGUUUUGUCCUCUUUAUUGUUGAGUUACAAUGAUUUGCCAUCUAGAGUAAAAAGAUGUUUUUCAUAUUGUGCUCUCUUUCCAAAAGACUACGAUAUAGAAAAAGACAAACUAAUCACAUUGUGGAUGGCUCAAGGUUAUCUUAGUGCAGAAGAAGAUGAGGAGAUGGAGACUAUAGGUGAAGAGUAUUUUAGCAUCUUAGCUUCUCGCUCUUUCUUUCAAGAGUUUAAGAAAAGUUAUGAUAAUCGGAUUAUAGAGUGUAAGAUGCAUGAUAUGGUACAUGAUUUUGCCCGAUUUGUAAGUCAAAAUGAAUGUUUUUCGAUGGCAAUUAAUGGUAGUGAAGAACCAAACGCCACAAACUCUGUUGAUGAGAAGGUCCGUCAUUUAAUGUUAAUCUUUAGUAUAGAGGCUUCAUUACCUGUUUCCACUCCUAGAGUUAAAAGAAUGCGUACCCUCUUAAUUAACGAUAGUAGAUCUGAUCAAUCAUUAUUAAAUGGUGAGAUCCUAGAAGAAUUGUUUAGGGAAUUGACAAGUUUAAGGGCAUUAGAUUUUGACAAAUUGUACCACUCAAUUUGGUCUUCGACUCUGGAGAUUCCGAGAAACAUAGAAAAGCUGGUACAUUUAAGAUACCUUAAUUUGUCUUCUCAGAAAAUAGUGGAGCUACCGGAGACAUUGUGCGAGUUAUAUAAUCUAGAAAAGUUAGAUAUUAGUUUUUGUUUUGAUCUUAGAGAAUUACCUGAAGGGAUUGGGAAGUUAAUAAACAUGAAGCAUUUACUAAAUUAUGAUACUGAUUCUUUAAGGUACAUGCCAGUAGGGAUUGGGAGAUUAACGGGUCUUAGGACCUUGGAUGAGUUCCACGUGAGUGCAGGAGGAGCUGUUGAUGGUAGGAAAGCAUGUAGGCUUGAAUCUCUUAAAAACUUGGAACACCUUCAAGUAUGUGGUAUACGUAGACUGGGUGAUGUAUCAGAUGUGGGCGAGGCUAAGCGAUUAGAACUUGACAAAAAGAAAUACCUCUUCAGUUUGACCCUUGAGUUUGAUAAGAAGGAGGAAGAAGAAGGAGAAAGAAGGAAGAACGAGGACGAUCAACUUCUUCUUGAAGCCCUGCGACCACCUCUGGAUUUAAAGGAAUUAGAGAUACGGUUCUACCGAGGCAACACUGUUUUCCCCAGCUGGAUGACGUCAUUAACCAACUUAAAGAGUUUAAAACUCUCUUUCUGCGAAAAUUGCGAGCAGCUGCCUCCUUUGGGAAAAUUGCCGUCCCUUGAACAGCUCUUCAUAUCGUACAUGUCGAGUGUGAAAAGAGUGGGUGAUGAAUUUUUGGGGAUAGAAAGUGAUCAUCAUGGCUCAUCUUCAUCUUCAUCGGUUAUUAUUGCCUUCCCCAAAUUGAAAUCACUUUCAAUUGAGUUUCUGUGCGAAUUGGAGGAGUGGGAUUAUGGGAUUACAAGAACGGGAAACACCGUCAUCAACAUCAUGCCACGUCUUUCUUCCUUGACAAUUGCUCUUUGCCCCAAAUUAAAGGCACUGCCCGACCACAUUCAUCAAACGACAACAUUGAAGGAAUUGCACAUUUGGGAUUGCAGGCUUCUGGAAGAACGUUAUUGCAAGGGGGAAGGAGAAGACUGGCCUAAGAUAUCACACAUUCCCAACCUCCAUAUUGGGCAUUGACAAGUAAUUUCUUCUCUUACUCUGAUUUGCUUUGUUGUUGUUUUUAAUCUAAUUAAGAAGCGUAAAUAGCAUUUUGAAUCAAACUCUAUAUCAGAAAUCUGCAAUACUUACUUUCUAAUAUUCUGAUUUUCAUAUCCUAUGAAUAUACGAUUUUUAAUUUGUGAGAUGGGUAACGUUACUGUAAAAGAUUAUUAAUGCAAUAUGAGUAAUUCUUUUGCAGGACAAGUGACCUACAUUUAGUUUGGCUUUGGAGUUGAAUAAUAACCUUUCGGGAACUGGUGUGGACUGGCAAAGGAUGAUGAGAUAGUUUUUUGAGUGAGUAAAUUUUGGGAGCUUGAGUGUAUUGGGAUUUGCAAUUACAAUCAUCGUCUGCCUCAGGUGAUUUCUUCUCCUGCUCUGUCAUUGUUUGUUCUCUAAUUCAAAAGCAUAAAAUAUUUCAAUCAAUUUUUAUGCCAGGAAUAUGCAAAAGUUUCUAAUAUUUUAUUUCCAUCUGUCACAAGAUCAAACUGAAGCAGAACUCAAACAAAAGUAUGCUACUUCUUGCGGAAAUCUUGCCUUCGUUCAAAUUAUGAAACCAUUUCCAUGCAGCAAAUUCAUCCAAAAGUUUGAAUAAGUUUCAUGGUUGGACACUGUUGGCUUCUUUUUCUUCUGGGGUGCAUUUAGGUGCUAUCAAGUGACAGCUGUAAGUAUGAUUGCACUAAGCUGCUGCUGGGAAAUUUGAGGUUUUGAUGGCUGCCCAUGUUAUUUUCAAGAAACUAUUGAUGUAAGAAGCCGUGGUUCUUUUCAUCAGCUUGAACCUGAAACUGUCGCUAUGGAUAACUCAGGUUUUUGUUAUCAACUAUAUCAUCUUUUUCACUAUUUUGAAACUCUUAAGAUUAAACGUUAGUAAAGUUGUUUCAGCUAUUCAAAUGAAAAACUCAUUGAUUUGAGACUUCCUUCAUUAUUGUUUCUAAUUACAAUGCUAACGAUCCAGAUAAAAUAAUAUUUAAUCGGCGAAGGUGUCCCUUGGAAGUACAUCCUUCUUUUUCUUUUAUUAUAUAAAUUCUUGCAAUGAGCUUAGUCAAGAUGUUGUGCUAAUCAUGCCACUGCAUAUAAAUUCUCCAGAAGUUAAAAUCAAUAAAUUUUCUAUUAGCUCUAGUGCUUUGACCUAAAUGCUAUUCUAUAUUCUGAUUACAAUGUUUUAACCUUUAAAUUAACUACCCCUAGGUGUUGGAUUUUCUAGAACUUCAAAAUGAUUAAUGGAGAAAGAUCCCAUUAUCGUUAUUGCUAUAAGAAAUUGAUUUAUGCAUCCAAAGAUACAUUAUAUAUUUCUGUGUCUCUAUUUAUAGAUGACAUUUAAGCAUCCAUAAACCGUCAGACAGAGGAAGGGGGUUCAGUGCAAAGAUUCUGUUGACCUAGGGUUGACUGCAUAAUGUCACUUGUUCGCAAUCUAUUAUUUAUUUUAUAUUUUGAAGAAUUUAAUGGGUAAUCCUAAUUGUUUGUUUUGGCAGGUAUGUGUUGUUUUCUCCUUCUAUCUAACAGUCGUACCUAAAUAGCAUAGUUUCAUCUGUGUUACCAUGUGAUGUACAUAAUUUCACAUUUGCCUCAGAUUAAGCUUAAUUUCCCACAGAAUAGAGCUGUCGCGACUGGACUUAGGUUGAUGUCCAAAGAGGUAAAUUAUUGGCAUGCCUAGAUAAUUUGGCCAUUUCCUAAUUCAUAAGUCUACAUUAAUUUUGAUUUUGAGUUGACUGAUUUCUUUUCAAGGUCUGCUUCCUUAACGGAGUGACCAAUGUUUUUCAACUAAAUUUAUCAUAUGAUGCAGGAAGCAGGGCAGGAUAUGAAAUGAGAAGCUCAUUGGUGGAAGUAUUGCCAGUAACAGAACCCAAAGAAAAUGAAACUAUUUCAAGGCAGCAGUUGGCAGUUGCAAGUGAAUGGAGGCCCUGACAAAAUUCUCAAGCGGUUGCAAUGCAAUUACGAUCAUCCUCAGCCUCAGGUAAUUUCUUCUCCUGCUCUGUUUUUAUUUGUUAUCUAAUUAAAAAGCAUAAAGUAUCUUGAAUCACUUUCUCUAUCUGGAAUAUAUGCAGCAGUUUCUAAAAUCUUCAUAUGAGUGUAAUGAUGGUAAUUUCUGUUUUUUGUCUGUCAUUGAAUGUUAGACAACUUUCAGUGAGACUCUUGAACCGAGACAUUUUUGACAACUGAAGGACAAUUGCUGAAGAGUCGGAAUGGUGCUAGAUUGGGGAAUAAAGACAAAGGAGGUAAAUUAUUUGCAGUUUAUUCAGCAUUAUUUGCUUUGGACCAGCGCCUGAUUCACAAGUCUCCAUAAUUUGGCUUUUGACCAGUUAAUAAAUUUUUAAUUCCAUUGGUGCUAAAUGUACACGUGAAGCAGGCAGAGCAGGACUGUGGAAAUGAGAAGGUUUUUAGUGAAAGCUUAAACUCAGGUAAUUCUAAAAAGUACAUGUUUUUGCUGAUUUAUCUAAAUCAGGAAAUUUUAUUUCCAUCUGUUACAAGAUAAAACAGAAACAGAACACAAAGAAAAAUAUUCUACUUCUUGUGGCAAUCUUGCCUUCAUUCAGACAAUGAAACCAUUUCCUUUCACCAAUUUCUUCCAAAAGUUUGAAUAAGUUUCAUGGGUGGACCUAGUUAGCUUCUUUUUCUUUUGGUGCAUUUAGGUCCUAUCAAGUGACAGCCAUAAGUAUGAUUGCAUUAUUGGGAAAUUUUAGGUUUGGAUGGCUCCCCAUGUUAUUGCCAAGAAAGUCCUCAUGUCAGAAGCUGCGGUUCUUUUCAUCAGCCUGAACCCGAACCUGUCGUUAUGGAUAACUCAGGUUUUUGUCAUCAACUAUAUCAUCUUUUUUACUGUUUUGAAACUCUUAAGAUUAAACUUCAGUAAAGUUGUUUCAGUUAUCCAUGUAAUCAGGCUAAGGAUAUUUAGCAGCUUAUUUAGGCAACUGCCAGAAUUCAGUUUGUUAGCUCGAAACUUGUAUGGUGACAAGGAUACUGGCAAGGAUAGUGAGAUAGUUUUUUGUGUGAGUGAAAUUUGAAAGCUUGGGUGUUCUGGGAUUUGCAAUUGCAAUCAUCCUCUGAGUCAGGUGAUUUCUUCACCUGCUCUGUCUUGAUUUUCUCUCUAAUUGAAAGCAUAAAGUAUUUCAAUCAAAUUCUGUACCAGGAAUACGUAAAAGUUACUAAUAUUUUAUUUCCAUCUGUUUGCAUUGAUAACUCGGCGGCAUAUGUUCUAGUUAAAGAACAAACAGAAACAGAGUUCAGGAAAAAGUUUCUUCGGCCACCAUAUUUGAAAAUGAAACCAUUUCCAGGAAGCAGUUGGCAGCAAAUUCAUAUGGAGUGUAGACAAUGAUGAGCAAAAAGGUGAUUCGCAAUUUCUUUUUUUUUUUAAGUGAAAUUAUUUGUUAGAUUGAAGCUGAUAUUGUAAGAAGGCCAUUGAGCUAACCUAUGUCGCCACUUGCCUAGAUUGCAGGGGGUCAAGACUCAAAAGAAGCACUGAAAUUUAAAAAGCAUGCAAUAGUUCUUUUGCCAUGUGUCAAUUAAUGCAAGUUUGAAUAAGUUUAUUGGCUGAACGAUGUUAGCUUCUUUUCCUUUCGUGCACUUUGGUAUGCUAUCAAGUGACAGCCGUAUGUAUGGCUUGCAUAUAGCUGCUGCUGGGAAAAUUGACGAUUUCAUGGCUGGCCGUGUUAUUGUCUUAAAUUAGUUGUGAUAAGCUGUUGCUUGGAGAUUCUGUUGCCAAGAAUUUGCUCACAUCAGAAGCUGUGGAAUCUGAACCCUUCGAUUCUGUUGCCAAGAAUUUGCUCACAUCAGAAGCUGUGGAAUCUGAACCCUUCGUUAUGUAUCAUCUUUUUCAUUGUUUUAAAACAGUAAACUCUCAGGACACUGAGCAGGCAAAUGUUAUAACUCGGUUUGUUAGCCAAAAACUUGUUGAAGAUUCUUGACAAAGCUGCGUCGAGUGAAUUGUCGGAGCUCUGAGGGUGAGAGAAAUUAGAGGGUGUAUAGGGAUUUGGAUUUGUUAGGAAGUUAUCAUUUUUAUUUGUCCGAUUCAAAACUUGAUAUUCCAAUUAUAUUCAUAAGCUUCUACAGUUAUCUUCAAAAAGACAUUCCAAUUAUAUUCAUAAGCUUCUACAGUUAUCUUCAAAAAGACAAAUGGAAGGCUUUGAACGGCUUGGGUCUGAGUAUUGUAGUUUGAUUUAUUUUGAUGAAAGAACCUUUUGACAUUAAGAUUCUUUCAUGAGUUAAACAUUCUUUUUAAAACCAACUUAUUAAAAAAAAAGUAACGAACAUAUAUUAUUUUGUUAGUGCUUUUUAAAUCAAAUAUAAAAAAGAGAACUGUAAUUCUUAGCAACCAAUUUUUCAUUGAGUACACCUACAACAAAUUAUUAAAAAAUAAAGCGAUAGAAAAUGCCUGAUUUUUCGUACUUUCUAAUUACUUUUGGUCCUAAAAUAUGGCGAUUUGUGUAAUAAUAAGCCCAUGUAUAUCUUUAUGCCAUUAGUUUGAUAAAUAACUAUCAAGGAUAACUUAUUAAGCUAAAAAUAUUUGAAGGAUAAAAUGGGAAAACUAAAAGGGUGGAGUAAUAAAGUUAUUUAAGAUUACAUAGUAAGUUAACUAUAUUCGAGGGAUAAAAUAUUAAAACUUGAAUAGUUAUAUUAAAAAUAUCUCGGCUAUUAUACUAUUAAACCAUAUGCCGUAAUAAUGUUUUUUUUCAAACUUUAAAAAAUUCAGGAUUUUAAAUUAAAACAUGGAUUUCUUUAAGAUGCUAUAUGUGUUUUUACAGUAUUGAUAGUGGGAUUAGUGUGUACCCUUAUAUGAAAGAGUUUUAAUCUGAAUCAUUCAUUUAAUAUAAUAGAUAAUUAAAUAAUUAAUUAAAAUAUAGCAGGUAACUUAUAGGUUGCAGGUAAAAAAUUAAUUUUUUAAUUUUAAAUUAAAAUUAAUUUGGAACAAAACCAUCCACACCCCUAAGGUUUACUUAAAUGAUCAUAUAAAUCCCUUUAGUUUCUACAUAGUUAUACAGACCCUCUUAAUUUCAUAAAUUAUUAUUAUACUUUUAAUUAAAACAACCUAAAUGAAUAUAAAUAUAGUAAUAGGAUAGAAAUAAUAAAUAAAUAUCAGAUGAAACAAAUAAAAUAUUACAAUAAAUACAAUUAAUUAAAUAACAUGUAUGAUGAAAAUUUUAUUCAUAUUAAGUUAUUAUUAGUCUAUCCCGAUGGAUUUACUCAAAUCAAUUAAUCCAAAAUUUAAUUUUAAGAUUGAUAUUAAUAUGGACAUAAUUAAAUAAGAUGUUGUAAUAUAUACUACUUUGAAUGUUAAGUAUAAUUAUCUAAUAUUAUUAGUAUGUGAAAUAGAUUUUAAUAUUAUUAAAGAAUAUGACAAUAUAUAAUUUUGAAUUAAAUUUUUUAGUAUUCAUGAUAUUUUAUAAAUUUUAUGUGAUUUUAUAUAUUAUAUUUUUUAAUUUUAAUGUAUUAUAUAUGAUCAUUUAAGCAAAUUUUGGAGGUGCGGUGGUCUUUUCCCUAUUAAUUUUGUAGCAUAUUUAAAGUGUUAUAUCAUACAUGAUACAUCACACUUUUGUUAAAGUGUUAUGUUAUUAAAAAUUAAACUUUGCAUUUAUAAUAUACUACCAUUUUAAUGUAAAGGUAAUAGAAAAUAUGAAGAUAUUUUUAAGUAGUCAAUUGUAGCUUUCUUUUACAAAAUAGCAGUAUAGAAAUACAAUUGGUAAAAUGUAAUAAAAAUGGUAUGGAAAAAAGUUAGUAGAGGCAAUUAUUCUUGUAGUUGCUAAAACAUAUGAAGUGACACACACACACACACACAUAUCAAGUACUUGUAUGUUCCCCUAACUUUUAUUAAUGGGAAGGAAAUUAAAUUCGUAAUUUUCCCGGUGAAUUAUGAAUUGAUAAAUGAAAUAUAAAUAUUAGUAAAAAUUAAUUUGUCGACUAAAGAAGUAAACCAUAUUUUAUGGGCAUUUAAUACAUUAAUUUAAGGUCAAAUGAGAUAAUAUCACAUGAUAUUUGAUACAAGAGUCCAAUUUUCAACAUUUGCAUAUAGUUUCUAAGCUAGUAAUCUAAUAAAAUAUACCAAAUGAGAAAUUGAAGGCUAUUAUUUAUAUUUCACCAUUGGACAAACACCAUACAUUAGAAUAAAAAAAUCUCACAGUAGAGACGGCAUCUGUUUGCAUGUUUUGAAAAUAGAUUUUGAAAUUAGUUUAAUUACAUGAUAAUUAAAUUAUAUUAUAAAAUUAAGAAUAUGAUUUAAGUACUAUUUUAGCAAUUUUGAGUCUCACAUUGAGUAUUCAAGUUAAUUAAAUGUUGAAACUCUUUUCUAUUUGGCUUGAAAUCACUACUAAAUAAAAUUACAAAAAGUCAAUAAUGAAUGAUGUAGGACACAUAUGUAAAAUAAAUUUUAAAGUGUAAUUAAACAUUCCUAUCAAUAUUAGUUUUGCAUACAUAUUCAUAUAUUUUACCGAAACCAUAUAUAAUUAAAUUUUGUGUAAUUAAGUAAAAUAUAUUAUUCAAGUGAAUUUAUGAGAAUAUUUAAAAUUGUAGGGGUCGUCACUGAAAUUUGCCAAACUUGAGCCAACCGUGCAUGAUCCAAACAGUUUAUUUUAAUAAUUCUCAAUAUGUUAGUCUGUUUGACUGUUGGCAAAAUAAAUUCCUAUCAGCAAUGCAACACAAUUCAAAAUCAUAUCUGCAUACAACGAACAAUAUCUCAUGAAAGAUCAAAUUAUACAUUUUUUACACCAAACCAUAAAUAUCUAAAUUGUCCCUCUUCAACUCACCAAGCUCAUACCUAACAACAGCAAGAUUAAAUGUCAUUUGAUCCAUCUUUUUUAUUAAGCUUUAUCAAUUCUUCUCAUGGUUGCAAUUUUGAAAGCUCGCUUCGCUAUUUCCAUUUGCUUUUAUGCUUUGUUUGAGCUCCAUCUUUUCUCUCCAUCUACAUUUUACACUGUAAAAAAAAUUUUAAAAAAAUUACAAAGCUUCUUAUGCUAGAAUAUGAGCAACAAUAUAAAUAAUAAACAAUAAAGUUAUGAUAGCACAGCAUGCUCAUUAAAGUGCUUCUUUUUUUUUUUUUUCAACAAGAAAUUACUACUGAAUUAAAGAUUUGGCUUUGCAUUAAGGUUUGCCUUCAAUAACUCAACUCCCCACUUGGGUUUUGUCGUUUUCUUAAAAUCUCUGCUCAAUCAAUUUAAAGAUCCUUUUUUUUUUCUUUCCAAAGAUCUAAAAGCAAUGUCUUUUAUUGGUACCCAACAAAAAUGCAAGGUCUGUGAGAAGACAGUUUGUCCAGUUGAGCAGUUAUCUACUGAUGGGGUUGUUUAUCACAAGUCUUGCUUCAAGUGCUCUCACUGCACUGCAAAGGCACACUCAAGCUAAGCAAUUACUCAUCCCUGGAAGGUGUUCUUUACUGUAAGCCUCACUUUGAGCAGCUUUUGAAGGAGUCGAGUAACUUCAACAAGAAUUUCCAAUUACCUGCAAAGUCAGCUGAGAAGUUAACUCCUGAGCUGAAAAGGUCGCCUAGCAAAGUUGACAGCAUGUUCUCUGGGCCCAAUAAAAAUGUGCUUCUUGCAGUAAAACAGUGUGUCCGUGGGAGAAGGUAGCAGCGGAAAACCAAGCCUCUCACAAGACAUGUUUCAAGUGCUCACAUGGUGGUAAUUCCAUUAGCCCGUCAAAUUACGCAGCCCUAGAAGGCAUCUUGUAUUGCAAACAUAAUUUCUCCCAAUUGUUCAAGGAAAAAGGCAGCUACAACCACCUUCUAUCAAAUCUGCUUCCAUGAAGCGUGCUGCAGUCUCUGUUCAAGAAGCUUGAACAUGUUAUGUUAUCUUCCAUAAAUCUUAUUUGGCGUGGGUUUUCUCUGGCUUGAGGGUGUGCUUUCUAUUUUGAUCCCUCUUGUUGUUUUUGCGGGGAACUACCAAACCUUCGGUUCCCUCUGCUUCUUUGGAUCAUCUUUGUUGGGACAAAUUUCAUGUAAUUAGAGAUACUGAUUUAUGGGAGGCAUAAUCCCAUGGUUGUAAAUUGACCAUUUUCUGGCAAUGUUCUUUUUAAAAAGAGAUGAGCAGUUGUUUAACAAAAAAAAUAGCUGGCCUUCAUCAUGGUAUGUUACCAAACUGCUAUGUAUAGCUGCUAACUAUGAGCAUCCGAAAAUAUGGUGCAUCGUGAUUCAUGUCGUGCAAUAUGGCUACCAACGCAUCCUAAAUGGAGUAUUACUCAGUUAGUCAGCAAAAUAAGACAACAGUAAGAUAUUAAAAAAAUAAAAACUACAUUAAUAAGUGGGCAAGAUCAUGCCAGUUUAACUUUUCGCGCGUCGCUGCUGGAGAUAAUCAAAUCGGGGCAGAGAAAAGGAGAAUGGAAUCAGAGGCUAAGAUUAAUAAGUGGGCUUCUGCUUGCUUUGCCCCUCUUUCUUAAACGAUUGGUAGACUGCUGCUUCCACCGAUUAACCGGGUCUUCAACCACUGCUUUUAUUGCCUGCCAUCUUGUUGUUUGUCGAAGGGAUGAAUUCGAGUCGAAAAGAGAAAGCGCGCUGAAAAAGACAAAUCACUAGUGGUUAACUACUGACUCAGCCAAGUGUUGGCUUCACUUGAUUCACCGAUUGAGGUUAUUUUGUCUUCUAUCUAAUGCAGCGAAGAAGCUUUACUGCUUAACAUGCUGCAAUGCAACUUUAUCUUUUGAAGUUCACACUUCAGGGCUGCGCACUUUAUGUAAUCCUAUGAGUAAAAAGAAUUUAUUUUCAAAUGUGAAAAAAGAAAAUGUAAGGUAGUAACUAAAUAUAUUAUAGCAUCAAAGUAAGAUUUGAUAUGAAUUUAGUACAACAAAGAACAUUAAAUCUGUGAUUCCUUGUCUAAUGUCACCAUCGAGCAACAAAUUUAAAAGCCUACCUAUCAAAUACACGAGGCAAUAAACGGAGAAAAAGUUGAAUUACAAGAACAAGUUUACAAUUCUUGUCAAUGGUUAAUGAUUCGUGAAUUGAGAUAGCAUUCAAGAAUCCAAUUUCAAUACAACAACGUAAAAGAUAAACAGAUGAUGAAUUUUAUGAGAUAAAGAAGGAGAUUGUGUUUUAUCGUAUCUCUAUUUUCUUUCCAUUUAAAUUUAAAAUAAGCUUUUCAACCGGUUAUAAUAUUUUUUGAAAUAAUUAAAUAUUUUUAUUAUUAAAAAUAAUGUGUACCGUUGAUUACAUCUAACGCUACAUAUUUCUUACACUAUUAAUACCGUAAAAAAAAUCAUAGAGGGACCCUUAAAACAUUUUCAUUUGAAAUUAUUUGGUGAAGUGAAAAAGUUAAGAAAGAAAUAGUUGUCCCUUUGGUCAUUUCACAAAAAUGAAAGCCCCAUAUAACAUGGACUUGAAUGGAAGCCCAAUUGUUGUGUUUGAUUUCAAGCUUUAUCGGACCUUUGGACCUGGAUACUUUACUGCGGCCUCUAAGCGCUACAAAUUUUUUUUUUGGGAUAAAAGGCGCUUCAAUGAAAAAGCACUUUAAAACUUUGGAUUUUGCCAAAACUUCAAAGCGGUUGGUCCAGUUACGGUGUUAUGCUAACGGGUUUAAAGGUUCCGAUCCAAUGAGUUAGGGUGGAAUAUGAAUAUAUAAAUCCUAGUCAUGUAAGGACUAGGAUUUGUUUGUUCAUAUCAAGAAAAAAAAUCUGAAAAUUUGAUGAUCAGAAGAUAAAAACACUUAAACACGUUUAUUACAGAGAAACAAACGACAACAUGAUGCUAGUAGUAAUUUUAUUUUUCUUUUAUUGUGUAACGUGGACCAAAAAAAAGGAAAUGAAUUUAAUAAAACCGUCAUUCCGCAAUAAUAAUGUACCAGCCUGGUUUUUAUAAUCCAUACCAUCCUGAUAUAAUUAAACACCAUUAAUAAUGUACCAGCCUUUAAAUAGUAAUUAAUUUAUUUAUCUAAUUCACCAAAUGUCAUUUCCGGUACAUAUCUCCUGGUAUCAAGAAGAGGCAGAACCCAAAGAAACGUUUCUUGUAUCUUCAUAUUUGUGCGAAUUCAUCCUUUCAUUGAGAAUAACCAUUUCCAGGCGGCAGUUGGCAAUCAAUUCAUGCGCAAGUCGAUGCUAUUCAUAGAUAUUAAAGACAAUGAUGAACCAAAGGUGAUAAAUCAUAAAUGCAUAAUUACCAAACCUCCAUCCUUCUCUCAUUAUGAUUUGAUUUUAAAUGAAUUAUUGCUUGGUAACAUUAUUUCCAACCAUUGCAAGAUUAUUAUUAUUUUUUUUUGGGGAGAAAUUUCAAUUGAAAGUGAAACCUUUAGACAUUUACCUAAUGAAGUUAGUUAAUGGGGAGGGUUGGAAAAAUUCCCAAGCCGUUGCACAGCAAUUACGAUCAUCCUCGGCCUCAGGUAAUUUCUUCUCCUGCAUUUUUGUUAUUUGCUAUCAAGUGACAUUCGUAAGUAUGAUUGUAUUAAGCUGCUGCUGGGAAAUAUAAGGUUUUGAUGGCUGCCCAUGCUAUUGUCAGAAGCUGCGGUUCUUUUCAUCAGCCUGAACCUGGACCUGUCGCCAUGGAUAACUGAGGUUUUUUUUUUUUUAAAUCAACUACGUCAUCUUUUCCACUGUUUUGAAACUCUUAAGAUUAAACUUUAGUAAAGUUGUUUUAGUUAUCCAUGUAAUCAGGCUGAGGAUACUUAGCUGCCUAUUUAGGCAAAUGUCAGACUUUAGUUUGUUCGCUGGGAACUGGUGUGGUGACAGCGUCCUGGCAAAGGAUGAUGAGAUAGUUUUUUGAUUGAGUAAAUUUUGGGGGCUUGAGUAUAUUGGGAUUUGCAAUUACAAUUAUCCUCUGCCUCAGGUGAUUUCUUCUCCUGCCCUGUCGUUGUUUGUUCUCUAAUUCAAAAUUAUAAAAUAUUUCAUCAAAUUUUAUGCCGGGAAUAUGCAAAAGUUUCUAAUAUUUUAUUUCCAUCUGUUUGUCUUGAUAACUUUGCAGCAUAUGUACUAGUUAAAGAACAAAUCGAAACAGAGUUCAGUUAAAAGUUUCUUCUGCCGUCAUAUUUGAAAAAUGAACCCAUUUCCAGGAAGCAAUGGGCAGCAAAUUCAUAUAAAGCGUAGACAAUGAUGAGCAAACAGGUGAUUCACAUUAAUGAAAUUAAUUGUUUGGUUGGAGCGGACAUUGUUAGAAGGCUAUUGAGCUAACCUAUGUCACUACUUGCCUAGAUUACAGGGGGUCAAAACUCAAAAGCGGCAUUGAAUUUUAAAAGGCAUCCAAUAAUUCUUGUGGCCAUAUAUCAAUUCAUGUAUGUUUGAAUGUAAUUAUUGGUGAAGGGGUUUCACUUCCCGUCUCUAAAUAAAAAUACUGAUUCUUUAAGGUACCUGCCACUAGGGAUUGCGAGAUUAAUGAGUCUUUGGACAUUGGAAGAGCUCCUUGUGAGUGGAGGAGGAGGUGUUGAUGGUAGCAAAGCAUGUGGGCAGUGGGCUUGAAUCUCUAAAAAACUUGGAACUCCUCCAAGCGUAAGUAUACGUAUACUGGGAAAUUUGUUAGAUGUGGAUGAGGCUAAGAGAUUAGAGCUUGACAAAAUGAAAUACCUCUUUCAUUGAGACUUAAAUUUGAUGGGGAAGAAGAAAAAGAAGAGGGAAGGAGGAAGAAUGAGGAUAAUCAACUUGUUCUUGAAGCCUUGCAACCACCUCUGAAUUUGAAGGAAUUAGAGAUUUGGUCAUACAGAGGCAACAUUGUUUCCCCCCGGAUGAUGCAAAAAUUGAAGGAAUUUACCAAUCUAAGGAGUUUGACACUCUUUAAAACUGCAAAAAUUGAGAGCAGUUGCCUCCUUUGGGAAAAUUGUGAUCCUUUGAAAAUCUCAGCAUAUUGUACAUGGAGAGUGUGAAAACAGUGGGUAAUGAAUUUCUGGGAAUAGAAAGUCAUCUUCAUGACUCAUCUCCAUCUUUAUCAGUUAUUAUUGCCUUCCCCAAAUUGAAAUCACUUUCAGUUGAGGGAUUGAUGGAAUUGGAGGAGUGGGAUUAUGGGAUUAAAAGAACAGGAAACACCUUCACCAACAUUAUGCCACGUCUUUCUUCCUUGGAAAUUAGUGUGGGGUUAUGGGAUCGCACAACCACGUUGAAGGUAUUGCAGAUUGUGGCAUGUGGUACUCUAAGAAGACGUUGCAGACAGGGGAGAGCAGAAGACUGGCCUAAGUUCUCUCACAUUCUAGACAUCAUGAUUGUGUGAAAAGAGGCCCUUGACAAAAUUCUCUAGGCGGCUACAUGGAGUACAAUCAUAAAAUGCUAAUGUGGCCACCCUGGUUCUUAAUUAAGGUUGUGAAAUAUUAUUGUAAAAGAUGAUUAAUUCAAUUUGAGUCAUUCGUUUGCUUUGAUAAUGAUAGUAAUUUUAUAUUUUGACAAUUUGCAAGGUGAGAAUGGUGCUGAUUGGUGAUACAGGAUACGGUUCAAACACCAUUGAAUAAAGCUACGGACAUGGUGGCUCAACUUAGCUAUUGCUGUCAAAAUUGGUAAGUUGGCUUGUCAAUGUAUUGAUGCUUUUGUUUUCUCUCAACCCUAAUUACCUUACCUUCAUUUAGUUUGGCUUUGGAGUUGAGUAAUAACUUUCAAGGUUCUCAAACAGAGCAGGACAACCGAAAAAAAAAGCUUAAUUUGCUACUGAUCACGUGUUACCAAUUAUUAAGGUAAUUCUCGUUUACUUGCUUCUACACUAUAGAGUACGUGUUCUGGCUGGUUUAUCUAAUUCAUCAAAUGUUAUUUCCUUAUUGUUCCAUUGAUAUAUUUGUUAGAAAGUGAAACCAUUUCCAGGCAGCAGUUGGCAGUGAAUUCAUGCAAAUGUUGAUGCCAUUCAUAGAUAUUGAAGACAAUGAUGAGCCAAAGGUGAUAAAUCAUUAAUGCAUAGUUACCAAAACCUCCAUCCUUCUCUCAUUGUAAUUUGAUUUGAAAUGAAUAAUUUCUAGGUAAUUGAAGCCAAUAUUGUUAGAAACGGUGUUGAGCUACCCAAGCUAAGAAGUUGGCUGCCAAAAAAUGCAGGGGAUCAAAAGAAGCAUUGCAUUUGAAAAGGAAUGAGAUUCUGGUUGCUACAUGUCAAUUCGUAGAAGUUUCAAUAAAUUUAAUGGUUCAAGAUUUUAGUUUCUGUUUAAAUUUGUGCUACUGCAGUGCUGCAGUGCUGCUACUGGGAAAUUUAAAUCCCAUAUUAGACUUUCCUCACAUAAGAAGCUGUGGAUCUUCGGACAUCAGGUUUUUUCACAGUUCUGAAACUCUCAGGAUUAAACUCUAUUAAAGUUGUUGUAGUUGUCUACGUUCUCAGGUCAAGGAUUCUAAGCUGCCGAUUAAGGCAAAAUGUCAGAAUUCCCCUAUUAUUUUUUUUUUCAUGUAAAAUUAUGUUGUUGUCUUCGCCCAUGAAUCUUAGCUAAAUUCUGAACCAAUUGUUUGCUAUUAUAAAUUUCAUUGUUAAAUAUUAAUUGUGAUGUUGGUGUUGAGUUUCUUUUAAAGUCAGAGAAGCCUGACGAUUGAGUUCCAUGGGAUUCUGAGAAGCAGUAAUAUUUUGAACAAGUGAAGGUUCUUCGUUUUUACAGUAUGUGCAGAUGUCUAAGAGGCAGGAUUUUUAUUUCUGUAAUGCUAAAUUUCGCAAAACAAUAAAAAUAAAUAAAUGCAUGACAGUGACUUCAAGAAUUUAGAUUAUUGAAUUUGGUCAUUUUAAAAUUGUUGGAAUGUUGAACUUAAGUAAUUUUUAUAAACCAGAGCUCAGAAAUGUAGAAUAUAAAUAUUGGAGAUUUGGACUUCAAUCAUUAGACUUGAAGCUAAAGAGGUAAGCCAUUAAUUAUAUCAAAGGAUUUGGAAAAUGGAGGGAUUGGAAAAAGGAAACAUUUUCAUAAACUUCAAGAGGAACGUCACAGAAAGGGGUAAAGAGAAGAGUAGCCUAAGAUAUUAAAGACAAUGUUGAGCCAAAGGAAACAUAAAUCCCAACCAUUGCAUGUGAACAUGAUCACAAUAAGGUCAAAAACCAUUUUUUUGAGAAUUUUCAAUUGAAAGUGAAACCUUUUGACAUUUACCUAGUAAAGUUAGUUAAACGAGAGAAAUAAAGGGGAAAAGAAAAGUUGACUCAAGUCAAUACAGAAUAAUUAGUUCAAUCUGGAGUAACUAAAACAGAGCCACUAUAUUUUCAAAAAUAUCUGCAUUCAUCACCUUCUCCUCCAGCUAGUGAGCUACACACGAAUCCUUUCCUUUUAGCAUUUUUGCAGCAUCAAUUUCUCCCCUCGUUUGUCAUCAAUUUCUCCCUUCGUUUCACCAAUACCAUGGCUGAUGCAAUCGUUUCCCCUCUCUUGGAGCAGCUGAUUAUCUUUGCUGCUGAAGAGUUGAAACAACAGGGGAAGCUGGUGAGUGUUGGAUGAGUGGAUCACAGCAUGCGCCAAAUCGCAAAAUAGAUCAAUGCUCUUGGUGCUCCUUAUCUGAAGAAGAAGGUGCAAAUUGGGAGCUGCAUUUCACUGUCAUAACAUUUAUUGUAAUUUCAUUUGGAGAUAUGUAAUAUCUGUUGUCCAGAUACAUAUCAUACACCAGUUGCUAUGUAAUUUCGUUUAGGUUCAUUUUUGUUUCUUAAGAGUUUGUAAAAAGAAUGGAAAGAUUUUAAAAUAUAAAUUUCAUAUCUGUUUAUUACUGUUGUUUGGUCUAAUUUCUUAUGUAGAAUUUUCAGAAUCUGUAGGACAUUAGUUUAUAAUUUUGAGAUUUUGCAGCCAUAAAAAAAAUUUUUUUUUUUUGCCAUUUUAUUUUGCUCCUUUAUCUAUGUGCAUGUUGACUGGCUGCAGUGAGUGAAAAUUUACCUAUAUAUGCUGGCUAUUCUUGGACAAUAUUAGAGAAAAUAAUCAUAUUAUUUCGCGUGAUGUGAACUUCCAUAACUUAUCAAUUGAAUUGCUGUAAAAUAUUAAAUAGUUUUAUUUUUCUUUUAUCGUGUAACUUGGACCAAAAAAGGAAAUGAGUUUAACACGACCCUCAAUAUAACCUCCAUUUCAGCACAAUACAUGUUAAUUGUUCCCCAAGGACUUCUCCUGUUUCCCAUUCCCACCUCCAUGCUCUCGAGAGGAAUUUAGCACCCAUCAAUUUUUAUUUUUGAAAACUCGUAAUGGUCUGAUAAAAUUAAACAACAUCAAUAAUGUUACCAGUCUUUAAAUAGUAAUUAAUUUAUUUAAUUUGCCACCUAAAAGAAUCCUGCUGGAAAUAGAGGUUAAAAAUUUUAUUAGAUCUGCUUACCUUUGUUCAUUCAGCAAAAACACUUACAAUUCACAGCUAGAGAAUCUAUCCAUUGACAAUUGUGGAUUAAAAUUAUAACACCUGAAUUCAAACAUAUCCUUAUGAAGUUAUGAAUUUGUUCAUACUUCAAAUGAUUUUUUUUUCCAAGCUAAUAAAGCAACCACUUUGAUCAAACGACGACGUUGAAGGAAUUACGUAUUUUCAAUGUCCUUUUCCAGACAGAUGUUGGAGAGAGGGAAAGGAGAAGACUGGCCUAAUUAAGAUAUCUCACAAAGAUUAUUGAGUUAAAAUGUUAUUGUAAAAGAUGUUUAAUACAAUAAUAGUAAUUCUUUUGCAUUGUUAUAAUGAGGCUGGUGGGUUUCCUCAGAGGAUGGAUAUGGCUCGCUAGCAUGCAUUUGGGAAGAUGCUAAUUAUCGGCCAUAAAAAGUCAGGGGGUUGUGGCUCUUCCGUCGCCCAGAAAUUCCUAAACUCAUAUAUCAAACUUCAGAUGAACUUGGGCAUUAUGUAAAUAUGUAUUUUUGAGAAUUAAACUAGUGCGUUCGAAAAAUUUUGAGCCAUUGUAAUCAUUUUAUUUUGCUAAGAGAAAAUUUUACUUUGUUUCGCUUUGCCUUUUGUUUUUUCUGUGAUAAUAUGAUUCAUACGAAUGUGAUUACACACUAUCAUGCAUCUAUUUUCAUUUGCUUGUCAUGAAUGGUCAACAUGCUCGAAAUAUUUACUUAGGUUGGAAAUAUUUGAAUCCACUAAAAUACUAUACAAACCCAUUUUAAAAUUAAAAAAAUGAUUAUCAUAAUACUCGUGAAGAUAACACGAUAUCAUACAUAAAAUAAAAUAUUUCGCAAAAAAGAUAAGAUACAAAUCUUGAGUAAAUAGGUACAAAAAAUAUUUUAGUGGGUUAAGUAGCACUAAUGCCCCCUUAUCAAAAAAUAAAUAAAAAUAACUAGUCUGAUUGGGUAUACCGUUUAUAUAUAUGUACAUAUUCUUGAUAAUGUGUAAUGUACAUUAUAGACAAAGAUUUUGAAAGCAAUAUUUUUUAAAAAGUCGAGAGAAUAGGAAAAGUCUAAAUCAAUUUUCUAAUCUCUACCUCCUUUAUGAUUUAAACUUUAGUGUUUAGUGUCGCGAGCCACUCAAAUUUUCUAAUCAAAGAGACUAAAUUGCACGAAAUUGUGCUAGCUUAUUUGAUUCUAGAAAUUUCUACUACACUGUAACACACUCUCACGUAGGGAUGGCAAUGGGGAGGGGAGGGGAGGGGACCAAUCUCCCCAUAUCCAUCCCCGAUAUUUUACAUAUGUCCCCGUCCCCGUCAGAAUUGCUUGAGAGAAUCCCCAUCCCCUCCUCGAAUAAUAACAGGGGAUCCCCGAGGGUCCCCGGUCCCCGAAUAACUAAUAAUCUAAUACAUUUUUUUAUUUUCGAUUUUAAAUUAAUCAUAUUAAAAUAAACUCAUACCGCUAUUGUAAGCUCGUAACCAAUUUUGACAGCACAUUAAGGCCUCCAAUGUGCUUGGAUGAAGUCUGUUAUGGUAUGGGCUCACAACUCUACCACUAGUGUUAAAAGCUGAUUCAGAAGCAACUGUUGUAAUUGGAAUUGCCAAAAUAUCUCUAGCAAUUCGAGCUAAUGUAGGAUACCUAUUAGCAUUUGUCUUCCACCAACUCAAAAUAUUAAAAUCUUCCAUCCGAGGUAUAACUUUCUCAUCCAAAUAUGAAUCUAAUUCAUCUGCAACAACUGCACAAUCUCCAUUGUUUACAUAAUCAUCAAAACCUAUCAUCCAUUUGGUUGCUUUCUUAUAAGAAUCCCCUGUAGAUCUAGUAGAAGAACUACUACCAGUAUAAUCAAAGCAAUAAACAGUUGGUGAAAACUUCAAUUAAUACUCUUCAACUAAUUCCCGGCAAAGGAUGACCACUUUCCCAACAUACAACUAUUUUGAUAUUUAUUAUUUUUAACAAUAUUUAUAAUUUUGUUAUUUAUUUAUUAGUAAUUUUAAAAAUAAAAAUAAAAUUAAAAAUUAAAAUGGGGAAAUGGGUAGGGGAUGGGGAUUCCACCUCAUCCCCGUCCCCUCCCCGAAUAAAAAAUUGGGUAAAAAAUUUUCCCCGUCCCCUCCCCGAAAAAAAAAUUGGGUAUAAAAUUAUCCCCGUACCCUCCCCGAAUGGGGAAAAUCCCCGAGGGUAUCCGUCCCCGUGGGGAUUUUUGCCAUCCCUACUCUCACGCUUGUACAUACCUCGAAAUUCUCUAGAAUUUACUAGAGUAGUGUUGCAUGUAGCUUGUACAUAGGUUUUUCUGGAACACUCCAGGCAUUACUAAGCAUGAGAGCCUUGAGAACUCUCUAGCCAUAAAACAUUCUAGGGUAAGCCUACCCUAAAAAUAGGGCAUGAUGCUUGCCACUUGAGCAUACAACAAGUAAGAACAAAUCAAGCAUACUUGUGAGCUCUCAAACUCUCUUAUACACACUUUUAUGAAUAAUAUAUUCUCUCUUUGGCUAUAUUGCUCUCUCUUCUCUCUAGUUUUUUUCGCAAGCAUCAAACCUUAGUUAGUCGAAAAAUUCAAGGCUUACUUUAUAGCUAUCUCGUAAAAGUUGUUUAAGUACCAUAGAGAUUUGCUGUGCAAAAUACUCAUCACAUGACAUUAGCUAAAUAAAAUUGUUUGAAAGCCACUUACCCAAACUAUUAAACGAAUAUUGACUUUUGUCUUAAUUUUCUAUCUCCUACGAUAAAUUUUAUAGUUAAAAAUUGAAAAAAAUUAAUAACUAUUAGAUAGAGCAUUCUUUAUUGUUAAAAGAAAUCUAUAUAGAUAGAUAGAUGGUAAUAUAAAAACUUACUUAUUGUAGUAUAAUGUUUUUAGUUUUUUGAAACACAGAUUCUCACUUUUUAAAGAUAAAAUUCAAAGAAAACAAGUUAAAUGUUGUAGAAAAUCUUCCAGCCAUACAAGAAAUUGUGAUGGCUAAAUGCAAACCUAACUAAAGUAUUAGUUGUUUUAUUACAAUCUCCAAAAAGAUGAGCAAUUCCAAAAUCUUUUUUUGUGACAAUAAACACUACACGUCAGUAAUUAUCCAGGUCAAAAGCAAGCUACUCUAUUAAAAAAAAAAAAAACUUGCAGUGAAUUCGAAGAUAAACCAAUUUUACUAGCAAGUUGGAUACAAAAGAGUAGGGCUUCGGCCUCAAUUACUCAGUGUACCAACAACUCAAUCUCGGUGAGUUAAAAUCAACUUCCAUCAGUCUUUUAUUUGUUGAUAGAUCGAUUAAGGUACCAAAAAGAAUAAUUAAAGAUGUAUUAGUUCAAGUUAAUAAAUUCAUAUAUCUUGUGGAUUUUAUUAUUUUGGAAACUGAACCAAUUGCUAAUGAAUGCAAACAAAUUCCUGUUACAUUGGGUCGUCCAUUUUUAACUACUGCUAAUACAUUGAUUAAUUGCUGGAAUGGAGUAAUGAAUUUAUCUUUCGGCAACAUGACAUUGGAACUUGAUGUGUUCAACAUAUGUAAACAACCUCACCACCAGGAAGAUGAUGAUAAUGAGAAUUAGGAGAUUGAUUUCAUCGAGCCAAUCAUUGAGGAACACAUUCAGAAUAAGAAUUUUACAAAUUCUGUGGAAAUUUAUUCUUCUUGUUCUUUUGAAUCGAGUAAAGAAUUAAAUUAUGAUACUGCUAACAUAUAACCUACAAUUGAUUCUAUGCAGGUACAUGCUGACAAUGGCCAAUCAAACUUUAAAGAUACAGAACAACCUGAAGAACCAAACGAAGAGCAAGUACCAGAGCUCAAAUUAAAGCCCUUACUGGAAGAAUUGAAGUAUGUCUAUCUUGGAGAACAACAGAUUUAUCCUGUGGUAAUUUUUUUCCCAACUCACGCUUGAUCAAGAAGGUAAGUUGUUGUCUGUACUAAAAAGGCAUAAAACUGCAUUUGGCUGGACUUUAAAAGACAUAAAAAACAAUAAUUCUUUAAUCUGCACACACCGAAUACACUUAGAGGAAAAUACCAAAACAACCCAUCAACAUCGACAUUAUAUGUGUAAACAUUAAAUACCAAAAUCAACCCCAAAAACUAUAAAUAAAAUAUCAUGAUUAAAAUGAAGUUUUUUUUUAGAUAUUCGUUGUAGUAUCUCUUUAGAUCGCAAACAAGAGAUAAAAUAAAUAAAUAUUUGCUAUGUAAAUAAAAAUAAAUAAUUUUUUUUAACUGAAAAAUAUUCUCAAAAACUAAAUAGUUCAAACUUUUUUUAACAUCAUGUGUUUCUAGGGUUGGGCAUUCAGUUCGGUUUUUACCGAACCGAACAACUAAAUUAAAUCGAAAUUACCUGUUCGGUUCAAUUGAAUAGACAAAAACCGAAGAGUUUAUAUUUUCAUGAACUGAAUGAUUUGUGUUUCAGUUGAGUUCGGUUCGAUUCUGGACCUGAACCGAACCGAACCGAUCCGUGAAUCGUAAACUGCCCACCCUUACGUAGUAGUUUCCGUUAACCGACGUUGUAUUGCUCGUAUAAAAUUGUUCAAAUGUUCAAAUCACAGUCUCCCGCUCUCAGCUCAGUCAGAGUUUCCAGGUCCAGAGACUUCCCGCUGACUGAGAACUUUUUCGUAGCAGGUCUACAAAUAAUGGAGUAGAGCUGAUUUUAUGAUUAAUUUAUUUCCUUUUUCAAUUUCUCUUGAUUGCGAUUUAAUCUGGAAAGUUAAACGUGAAUUGUUUAGUGCGGAUUAAAUGUUCGACGAAUUUCCCACAAGAGUAUUAAGUUCAAGAGAAAAAAAGAAAACAAUUGAGCGUGAGCGUGAGCGAGAAUGGUGUUUGGGCAAGUGGUGAUUGGUCCGCCCGGCUCGGGAAAGACCACUUACUGCAAUGGCAUGUCUCAGUUUCUCAGCCUUGUUGGCAGGUAACUUCGUUUCUUGAUUUCAAGCAGCUUUAUCUUCGAUGACCAAAAAUAUUGAUUUGGGCUUUGCCAUUAAAUGAAUGUAAGAGCAGUAGGGAAUAACUGAGUUAUAGGAUUAGCUUUAAGUGAACAUUGAUGGUAAUGUGAAGGUUGUAUGUGUUCAGUGGCAAGCUGUAUGCCAAUUUGGUCUAUAUGGUUGCUUAGGUAGUAACUUAUUAAUUUUUAGGCAGGAAGGUUGCAGUCAUCAAUUUAGUUCCUGCUAAUGAUAGUUUGCCGCAUCCUUUGUCAUUGAACUUUCUUACAAAUGCUGUGGUUUGUUGUAGUAUAAUUAGUUCAAUUGGAAAUUUCCUUGAUGUUAAUAUAGAAAUGAGUGUGCUGUGAAUAUUGAGGACCUCAUUAGACUAAGUGAUGUGAUGAUGGAGUAUUCACUUGGUCCCAAUGGAGGUUAGUCAGCCUAUUGUUGUUUACUCUUUCUUGCUUUAUCACGCAAUGAUAUUCCUUUGCUUUACAACAAAUUUCAUGAAAUUAACUUCAAUCAAGUGGCAAUGUUCAUACGCUGUUGAGAUUUUAUGGACAAUGAUUUGGUAGAAUUUAUAUGCCGUCUUCUUUCUUUUUGCAGUGAUAUGCUUGUAUUCAAUGAGCUUGUACUUAUUCUAUGGUUUCUAAAGUAGGUGUUUUUAUGAUAAACUAGGUCUUGUGUAUUGUAUGGACUAUCUAGAGAAGAAUAUUGACUGGCUGCAGUCGAAAUUGGAACUACUUUUGAAAGGUAAGUAGAGGCCAUUUUCCUUCAUUCUAAUGCCAAUAAUGCUGUCAUGAGACUCAUAAAAAUUGUUAAAACGUUAAUGUUUUUGGUAUUUUGCAGAUCGUUAUCUUCUGUUUGAUUUUCCUGGCCAAGUUGAAUUAUUUUUUCUUCAUUCCAAUGCCAAGACUGUUAUAAUGAGACUCAUAAAUAAGUUAAAUCUCAGGGUAUUGUUACAUCUUACAUCUAUGAAGGGACUCAAAGAGUUGAGAUGAAUUCAUCUUUGUUAUUUUGAUGCCAGAAUUGUGCAAUUCUCAGUUUGUUCCUUUCACAUGCAGUUGACUGCAGUGCAUCUAGUUGAUGUGCAUCUUUGCAGUGACCCCAGGAAGUAUGUUAGUGCUUUGCUUCUCUCAUUGUCUACGAUGCUACAUCUGGAACUUCCCCAUGUCAAUGUCUUGUCUAAUCGAUCUGAUUGAGAAUCAUGGAAAGCUAGGUGUGGUUUUAAGUGUAGCUCUCCUGCUUGUUUGUUUAGUUUGAAAUAUCAGAUAUUGUCACAAGAUCCUAUUUGCUACAUUUCCUCACCAAUCAAUUAUUUUGGGUCUGUUGCAGCUUUUAAUCUCGAGUACUAUACAGAUGUGCAAGAUUUGUCAUAUUUACAGCAUGCUCUCGGUCAGGACCCUCGUUCUGCUAAGUACAGGUUUGAAUUCUAGCUGAAUCAAUGAUGCAAAUUAUGUCCAUUGUUAUUUCUGCUGUUGUUUCUAUCAUUUUCAAUUGUUACUUCCCCUUUCCAUCUACUACCACACUACAAUACCCACACAAAUGUUGUGAAAUUUGUCAAUGGAAAAAAAACAGUUCCUCUUUUAUUUUGAUCAGACUCAAUGAAUAAGUGGUUAAAAUGUGCCUGUCCUAGAAAUAUAGAUGUGUGGUUUCGUAAAAUUUUCUUGAUCUUAAGAAAGAGUUAUCUCGAAAAGAAGAUAACAUGGAGAAUUCAACAACUAUACAGUCAUAUUGAUGUCUGUCAACUUGGGUCAUAUGGUGUCGUUUGGAUGGAGAUGUUAGGUCCCAGAUGGUAAACUUGUUAUCGAAUUCCAGUCUACUUCAUUCAUGCUUUGAUGACAUAUACGGUGCAGCUUCUUAUCUAAGACCUGCAUAUGUUCAAUCAUCAUUCUGUUCUGUAUUUGGCUGCCAUUCUUUUCAAUGAAUUCAAACCACUUCUGAAUACUUGCAAAUUCAUCCAGUGUUGUCAUUGAGAUGCCAAUAUGAAAGGAAGCCAUAAUUGCCCUUGAUAGUAUGCUUAUUGAUUGCCUCUUGCCUCACUCAGCCUCAUGAAUCUGCUUGUAUGGUGUUCUUGUAAUUUCAUUUGGAGAUUAGUAAUAUCUGUUGUUCAAAUGUAUUUUAUAUACCAGCAGUUAAUAAUUCUGCUUGCAGAAAGCUUACAAAGGAGCUGUGUGAUGUAAUUUUUCAACCUUAGAUAUCCAGGUCAUCAGUUUCUCUUGAAUUCUUUCUUGAAUUUCUUUGAAUUAUUUGUGAAUAAGAUCUUAGUUGGCUGCUUCUCUUCAGGAUAAGGAAAGUGUGGCAAAACUCGUGAAGCUGAUAUAUAAAAGCAAUGGGUACAUCUUUGCUGGCAUGGAUGCCAGUGCAGUUGAAUUCAGCAAGAUUGCCGUUCGCGAUGUUGAUUGGGAUUAUUUCGGAUAUCCUUCUUUUCACCUAUUUUCAAUGUUGUUAUUCUCAUAUUCAUAAAAUUUUUUGGUUAUUUAAUUAUGGUUCAUCAUAUGCAUCUGCAUCUUCUAACUUGUUCGUUUGAGAAACUAAUUUUGCCGUUAGGUAGGCUUCGAGCUUGAUGAGUUGAUUCAUGCUUUUUUCAUAAAUGUACCAAAAUCAUGGAAACUUCUUUUUCCCAGAUAUUGUAUCCACACUUUUUCCAUGUAAUUGGGUCAGACAAGUUUUGCUUAACAAAGAUAUCUACAGUAGCCGAAGUGCAGGAGAAGUACAUUAAGGAUGAUGAUGAUGUUAACUAAAAUGAGACGUGAAGAUAUGUGGUGUGCGAACCGUAAGCCUGCCUCUUAAUUUUGUGCAUGUUUACUUGCUUGUGAUUCACGUUUGUUAAUCUAUUUUGCUCUCUUGCAGGAGUUAUAAAGUUUUCAAUCAAUCAAACAUUUAACUUAAGUCCUUACCUCUUGCUGCAAAGACAAUGGGAAGUCUCAUGAGCUCUAAAAAAACUGAAGAAGAGUGGAAAAUAAUUUUAAAUAGUGAUUUAUGGAAGGUAAAAGAGAUCGAGAAAGGUGUUCUAACCCCUUUGUGGUUGAGUUAUAAUGAUUUGCCGUCCAGAGGAAAAAGAUGUUUCUCGUAUUGUGCUGUCUUUCCAAAAGACUACAAUAUAAAAAAAGACAAAUUAAUUACUUUGUGGAUGGCUCAAGGUUAUCUUAGUGCAGAAGCAGCAGAACAAGAUGAGGAGUUGGAGACUAUAGGUGAAGAGUAUUUUGGCAUCUUAGCUUCUCGCUCUUUCUUUCAAGAGUUUCAGAAACGUUAUGAUAAUCGUAUUAUAGCGUGCAAGAUGCAUGAUAUGGUACAUGAUUUUGCCCAAUUUGUUAGUCAAAAUGAAUGUUUUUCGUUGGAAGUUAAUGGUAGUGAGGAACUAACCGUCACAAACUCUACAAACUCUCUUGAUGAGAAGGUCCGUCAUUUAAUGUUAAUCUUUAGUAAAGGGACUUCAUUACCUGUUUCCACUCGUAGAGUUAAAAGAAUGCGUACCCUCUUAAUUAACGAUAGUAGAUCUGAUCAUUCAUUAUUAAAUGGUGAGAUCCUAGAAGAAUUAUUUAGGGAAUUGACAAGUUUAAGGGCAUUAGAUUUUGGCAAAUCGUAUAACUCAAGUUGGUCUUCGACUGUGGAGAUUCCGAGAACCAUAGAAAAGCUGGUACAUUUAAGAUACCUUAAUUUGUUUUAUCAGGGAAUAAAGAAACUACCGGAGACAUUAUGCGAGUUGUAUAAUCUAGAAAAGUUAGAUAUUAGUUUAUGUUUUAAUCUUAAAGAAUUACCUGAAGGGAUUGGGAAGUUAAUAAACAUGAAGCAUUUACGAAAUAGAGGUACUAGUUCUUUAAGGUACAUGCCAGUAGGGAUUGGGAGAUUAACGGGUCUCAGGACCUUGGAUGAGUUCCACGUGAGUGGAGGAAAGCGUGUAGGCUUGAAUCUCUUAAAAAA
rnacentral:lncRNA from 1 species